rnacentral:lncRNA from 1 species
UCAAGGGAAGUAUAAUCAUUGUUUUCCUCAAUAACAUUACCUUUAUAAAGUGCAUCAUCAAUAACAACUUUGUCAAGUUCAUGUCUAUGCUUUAUAUGUAAAGAUUUUCUCAGAAUCAAGAGCAAUCGAAAGCACAAUUCUCAACUUCCUAACUUGAACAUCUUCUUUCAACAUGAAAUCUUCACAAUGAUGUUGUGGUUUCAUGAUUUAUUUAUUUAUUUUUUGUGUUUGUUUGGGUUUUUUAUGAGAUCAGAAAAUUUAAGGGCAGUGCUGUAACAAAAGGAAGUAUUGAGGCAAAAUUAUAAAUAAGUAAAAAAUGGGGUUAUCGACGAUAGUGAUUGAAAAACUUGACAACGAUGAGUAGAUAUGUAAGAUUGGAGUUCGAUGAGUGUGAUGAUGGCAGUGAUUUGACUUAAAUCAUUGUGGAUUGACUGGAAAAUUGAAUUGAUGUGGCAUUUUUAUGUUGGUUUUGAUUUUUGGCAGUCAGUUCAUCGAUCAGUGGUAGGGAACAGUGAGAAAGGUGAGCCAGUAGAGAGGAGAUGAUUGAUAGUGGUUGCGCAGGUUAAAUCAAGGCAAAAAUCGAUGAUCUGUCAAUGGCGAAAUCGCACAGAUUUUGGUGAUUUUAGCCGAGAAAUGGCUGUAUGAAAGGCAUGGUUUUGGUGCCCGGCUUCCUCUGAAUGUGAUGGCAGUGGUUGAUCGUCAAGAUGGUGACAAGAAAGAAUACUGAUAGUUGUAGACAGCAGUUGCUGCCAUGGCCUCAGGUUUUUGCUAGAUUUUUUCUAUAUUCUUUUUUGUUUUUGAUUUUUUCAAGUAAAACCAAACAAAAAAAAGUGAAAGGGCAGGUUGUUGAGGGCAAUUAAGAAUCAUGCUUUAAGCUUUGAUACCAAAUUGAUGUAGCAAAAGUUUAGCAUUUAAAUCUUCUGUUAAUUCUUGAGAAUACCAGAAUGAAGGAAGAAUCUAAACUCACAUUGAUUCGAAAGGAUACUGUGAACUUAAGUGGUUAAGACUCGUUAAUUCUGAAGGAUUCCAAGAAUUAACUAAACUUAAAAACUCACACAGAGCUUUGAAAUCUAAAAAUAUUAUCGAACUCAAAAUCUGCCUUCAAGGGCUACAAGAAAGGGUUAUUUACAUUAGUAGUAAUUAUCAUAAAUCAUGAAGUAAAAAUAAAACAAAGUCUAAACUUUAGAUAAUAAGGAAACUAAUCCAAAUAUGAUAAAUAAUUCCUAAUUUGCAUUAGAAAGGAUCAUGCCUUUAAGUUAAAGACUUGGAAAGCCCUACUAGGUACUCAAAUUAUUAAAAAAAAUGUGAAAGAUAUUGAGGAUAUAGAAUGGCCUUGAAUUUUGUUGCUAGGAGUUUGAAAAGUUUUGCUGAAAGUGUGUCGUUACAAGGCACCAAACUAUGGAAUUCACUCUGUAAUAAAAUGAUUUAGCUACUAGUCUUUAUGAUUAACGAUCAAUGUUAGGCUGGCACGACUUAUUUAGCUUAGUUAGAUCCAUUCGUGCUCAUGGACCCACGUGCUAUAUGGGUCAUGCCAUGUCGAAGUACACUACUAAUAUGAUAUAGUCCCAGUCAAAGCGUAAGUAAUAGAGAUUGUUUCUACUUAGGACAUGAAAAAAACCACAAGUUAAUUGAAUUUGAAUAAUACUGAAUGACUUUAUUCAUGCUUGUUGGAACUUAUUUAUAAUUGAAAUAACAUAGCCAAACAACCCAACUACACAACCGAGAUUGUUGGUAGAUCCUAAGCUAACAACUUUGACUCAACAACUUAGCUUUAAUAUUCUCACUAGCUAAGUAACAUAGUGGGAAUUGAACAUGAAUAACAAAUAUCGAAUCUCCACCAAAUCAACAAGUGAUCCCAUGUAGAUUGCUCCAACGACUACACAUUCAAUGUGUUGCAUGUUGUAUGUUGCAUGCACCGCAUGCACGAAUUAUACGUACUCGUCAUACUUGGUGCUAGGCCUUGGAACUCUCGAUGACUUCUGUGGCCUAUCAAUACCCGAUCCACGAAGAGGACCAUUGUCCUCAAGGGCCAGUUGAGGAAAUUGCUGUUCAAGUAACUCAGAAUCUUCCAAUGUUGCGUCCUCUUGUGGCAGACGUUUUUAACGUACAAGACUUUGUUCCACAAACUUGCCACCUCACUUAAGCCAGCGAGUAUCAACAACUCUUUCUAGUUCCAAAACUAUCACACCGUCGUCAUCAAUAGAGGGAAGAUUUGUGCUAAACUAAGGCAACUCACCAAAAUUUUUUUGAGUAAAGACACAUGGAAUACUGGAUGUAUAUGUGAACCCUCCGGUAAUUGCAGCUUAUAAGCUACGCUGCCUAUUUUUUGAAGCAUUGGAUAUGGGCCAAAUUACCUACUCGCCAACUUUUGAUGAGCACAAUGAAAUACAGUGGGCUGCCUAUAAGAUUGGAGUUUUAAGUAUACAAUGUCACAUUCCUGAAAUUCCACGUCACGCCUAUUUCUAUUAGCGAUUUGUUUCAUUCGAUUGGCAGUCGUCUUUAAGUUCUUCUUUAGUUGUCGUAGUAGCUCAUCUCGAGACAACAAAGCUUGAUCGACAUCAUGCACUGGUGAUGAUCCUACGUGAUAUAUUGGCAUUGAAGGUGGUUAUCGCCCGUAUAGAGCCAAAAAAUGAGUCAUUCCUGUGGAUUCGUGGUAAGUUGUGUUGUACCAAUAUUCUACCCAAGGCAGGUAAAAAUUCCACUUCCACGACCAUUGGUGAACAAAGCUUCGUAAGUAUUCUUCUAGGAAUCAAUUAAUUACCUUUGUCUAUCCGUCGGUUUGUGGGUGAUACGCCGAACUCAUCUUUAGUUGUGUCCCUGACAUAUUAAAAAAUUCAUGCUAAAACUUGCUAAUAAAAAUAGGAUCCUAGUCACUGAUUAUCGACUUUGCCAUUCCAUGUAAUUUUACAACCCCAUCAAUAAAUUUCUCUGCCACCAUUUUAGCCGUGAACGGGUGGGACAAGGACAUGAAAUAGGCAAAUUUGCUGAGCCUAUCUACCACCAUCAGAAUUGAAUUUUUACCUUGAGAAUUUGGCAGCCCUUCAAUGAAGUCAAGUGUGAUAUCAUCCCAGACUUGGCAAGGGAUUGGUAAUGGCUAGAGGAGACCCGUAGGUUUAAGAGUUGAUGCUUUCGUUUUCUGACAAAUUUCACACUUACUCACAUAAUCAUGAAUUAUUUGAAACAUUGAUGACCAAUAGAAUUGUUGUUUCAAACGUUUGUAAGUACGUAGAACUCCUAAAUGACCUCCCAUCUUGGUGUUGUGGGCUUAAAAAAUUAAUGAUUCACAGACUUGAAGAGGAACCACGACCUUGCCUUUGAAGAAAAUUAGCCAAUGACACAUGGAAUAAGGGCCAAUGGCUUACGUUUGGGCAUGUUGUGUAAUAUUCUUCAUAUAUUCAUCAUCAUGGCCAGUCUUUUUUAUCUCUUCCCAUAUUGAUACAUGCGCCACAAAUAAAUUGUUAAGUGUAGGUUUGUCAGGCCGGCAUGAGAGAGCAUCGGGGAUGAUAUUCCCACAUCCUGGUCGAUAUUGAAUUUAAUAGUCAAAUCCCAUCAAUUUGGCCAGCCAUUGUUGUUGCUCGAGUGUGGCAAUUUUUUACUCCAAAAAAAUACUUAAGUCUGCAUUGGUUGGUUUGAAUAAUGAAUCUUCAUCCCAGAAAAUGAGGUCUCUGCAUAUGUAUUGCUUCUACAAUCGCCAGCUUCUUUUUUGCAUAUGUGGACCAUGAUUUCUUGGUGAUUCCCAAUGCACGACUUAUGAAAGCGAUGGAUUGUCAUUGUUGCUACAGUAUCGCGCCUAUGCCGUCACUAGAAGCGUCUAUCUCAAUAACAAAAGUAUUGUUAAAAUUAGGCAUGGCUAGUGUAGGAGUACUAGUCAUGGCCUUUUUCAAAUUGAUAAAUGCUUUUUCUACUUCUGGAUUCCACCCAAAUUGCCCAUUUUGGAGAAGAUUUGUGAGUGGUCAAGCCAGUAUCCCGUACCCUUGGACAAACUUCCUGUAGUAACCAGUUCGGCCAAGGAGCACUUGCUCGCUUUAAGGAAGAAUUGAUGUUGUUUGAGAAUUUCCAUUGCUUGUUUAACAUGCUCAAGAUGACAACUCUAAGAGGGGCUGUAUAUUAAUAUAUCGUCAAAGAAAACAAGGAUAAAUUUUCUGAGAUAAGGACAAAAAAUAGAGUUUAUGAUGGCUUGGAAUGUCGAUGGUGCAUUGCAUAAUCCAAACGACAUUACUAAAUAUUUAUAAUGUUCCUUGUGUGUGCGAAAAGUCAUUUUAUGAAUGUGGCUGGAUUUACCUGUACCUAGUGAUACCUGGCCCUUAAGUCCAAUUUGGUGAAGUAUACGGCCCCAUGUAACUCGUCCAACAUGUCGUCUACCGUGGGAAUUAGAAAUCGAUCCUUGAAAGCGGCGAUAUUGAGAGACCGGUAAUUCGUGCAAAAUCUCCAACUGCCAUAUUUUUUUUUACUAAUAGUACUAGUAAAGAGAAGGGGCUUGUACUAGGUCGAAUAAGCCUUGAGUUCAGCAUCUUCUGUACUUUUUUUUCAAUUUCGGCCUUUUAGAAAUAGGCGUAGCGGUAUGGCCUAACGUUGAUAGGCUUAGUUCAUUCCUUCAACGUGAUGUUGUGAUCAAUCUCACGUGUAGGUGGCAGUUUGGUUGGCUCUUGAAAUAAGGCAGUGUAUUCCUUUAACAAGUUCUGCAUGUCUGGAGAUGUUGUGUUGAAAGAAUCAUCCAUAUUCACGUGAAAGCAUAUGGCAAAACCCAACUGCCCUUGUCUCAGCUCCUUUGUAAUUUCGAUUAAUGAUGCUAUUUGGAUUGAUUGUGGUUGCCUUAUAACCGUCGACUUUUAUUUCCCCAAUUAAAAUCCAUGGUAAGGAGUUUCUAAUUACAAACCACCAUAUCUAGUCCUGCAAUAAGAAGUGAGUAGAGAGUUAAUGUAAAAAGGACAUCUUGCAAUCAUACUUGAACCUGUUCGAAUUUUUUUGUGCACAACAAUGUUUCCCCGUUCGCUACUCGUAUUGAAAAUCCUACUGUGGGAAUGAUUAGCAGUCGUAACAUGUUAGCCAUUCGAGAGUUGAUGAAGUUGUGAGUUGAACUGCUAUCGAUCAAUACCAUAAUCUCGUAUGGUCCCAACUUUGCUGUGACGCGUAUAGUCCUUGGGGCUGUCCAUCUCAUCAAAGCAUAAAAAGUGAUUUUUGGGUUGGCCAGUUCUCUGAUGUUAGGUUCUUUUUGUAAUUCUUUUGCAAUUCUUUCACAUGCAACUUCAUUGUUCAUGGCGUCACUUUCUAGUAGUAGUUGAGGUUGGUUGCAUUUGUGUCCUGCUAUAAAUCUAUCAUUACAAUUGAAACAAAGUCCCAACGCUCGACGCCGUUGCAUUUCGUCCCAUGUCAGCCCUGUUAAUGGGGCACGAACAUUAUUUGUUAGUGCUGGUGUUGCACGGUUUUUGUAUUAAGGACGCAGCAGCUUCCUUUGACGCGCUAAUUGGUCAUCUUUCAUAUGUGCUAGGUUGAUAACUUCCUUUAAUAUUUUGGGUCUAAAAAUUGGAAUAUCUUAUGAGAUUUAUGGUUUCAAUCCUCCCAUAAAGGUCCCCACCAAUGCCUUUUGUGUCCAGCCACAAACCUUAUUUCCAAGUCUCUUGAACUCCUGCUAGUAGUCACGAAGUGAUCCCGUCUGCUUAACCCUUGACAAUGCCUCGUCAUAGUCUUCGCAUUAUGUAGCACCAAAACGGCCCCACAAUUCUUCCACAAAAAUUUCCUACGUUAGAGUUCUAUCUUCUUCGUGAUAGGUUCGUCGCAACCAUUGCUACCACUGGUUGGCCUCUCCUUCGAGGUGGAAAAAGGCUAAUGAUAUCUUCCGUUUGUCGGUUGCUUCAUGAUACUUAAAGAAUUGUGUUAUCCUAUUGUACCACUCUAUUGGAUCAUCGUCGGAGUAUCGUGGACACUUAGCUUUAAUAUUCUCAGUAGCUAAGUAACAGAUUGGGAAUUGAACAUGAAUAACAACUAACGAAUCUCCACCAAAUCAACAAGUGAUCCCAUGUAGAUUGCUCUAACAACUACACGUUCAACGUGUUGCAUGUUGCAUGCACCGAAUGCAUGAAUUAUAUGUACUCGUCAUACUUGGUGCUAGGCCUUGGAACUCUCGACGACUUCCGUGGCUUAUCAUAACACUAGGCAAAUGGCUACCUAGAGGCAUGUACGACACGAACAGUAAUACUUAAAGGCAUUUGUAGGCCUUACUCUUCACAUCACUGGGUUCGCAGACGAACUAUUUAGCAAAUCCAAAUCACACUAUAUCCAAUCCAGGCCAAUUGAGAUUAGGAUACCUUGUUCAAUAAUUUAGCAUAGGACACAUAACAAGAUAAAAUUAUCAAAGUGUGUUUAUCGUUCAAUUUUAAGUUAAAUUUGAUUUCAAUGCUAUGUUUUGCCUUGUCACUUUUCUUGUUUUUUGGAUGUAUAGGAAUUCGUGCUUUCAUUUUUUUUUUUUAUCAAAUGAAGUUCAGUUGUUUGUUUUGCUUAUUUGGGGAAUUUGGGGCAGAAGAAUAAAAUUUAUAUGCUGGGGCUCCUGGUUGUUCUUUAAUCUUUAUCUGUCAUGUCUUGCGCAUCUGAUGCGUUCCUUCAACCAUCUUCCAUGUGUGCUAAUGUUUCUUUCCCAAAUGCUUCUUCUAUGUUUUGGAAACCGCAUCAAUUUAGUUGGUUUAGGCUUAAUUGUGCUGCAGCUAUCAAUGCCCAACAAGGUAUUGCUACAUAUGGGGUUGUGAUUCGCAAUCAUGAAAGUUUAAUUAUGUUUGUAGGGGUUGGCAUUGGUGUUUAUUCUUAUGACGUGAAUGUGGCUGAGGUAGAAGCCUUAAUUUACAACUUGCAAGAGGCUGGUUUGUCUACAUUAAUUAUAAAAUCGGGAUUCAUUGUAUGUUAUUGAGCUCAUUCAUGGGUAGCAAAGUAUGAGGACUGAAUGUUUUUUAACUAUAGCUAACGUACCACAAUUUGUUAUGCUAAAACAUGACUUCAAGAUUUAACAUAUCUCAAAGAAUUUAAGUUGUGGAUGGUUUAGCUAAAUUGGCAUUUUAUCUUUGUAGUUUAUUUGUUUUGAUUGAAGAUUUUCCACAAGAGCUAUCUUGCUAUCUUUGAGAUUGGUUCAUCCUAAUUUAAUAAAUAUUUUUUCCAAAAAAAUAUUUAUUCAUUUUAUCGAAGAUUCAAAGUGGUAGAAUUCACAUUUGUUAGCUAAGUUUGCCCUUCUUUAUAAUUUAAUCUUUUCUGUUUGGGUGGGAGAUUAUUUUAGUAUGCAUACUUCUCAAUUUUUUUAAUUAGCUUCCCUUUGUAGAAAAUGUUUAUUAGGUAAUUUAUGUUUGUGCAGAAGUCUCUUUACCCUUGGAGAAACCAAUAAAUUAUAUUAACUAGUAUAAAAAAUAUUAAUUCGCCUACACCUGUAAUAAAUGACAAGGAAAUAUGUACUUACUAUAUAUUAGAAAUUUAUUAAAAAAGUUAACUAUCUAACUGUCUUUAUAUUUUCAUUAAAGAAAUUAACCAUAUAAUAAAAUUUUUUACUGAAAUAACGAUAUACACUCAAUUUGAACAAAAUCACCCCAAAAUAAACCAACUCUAUUUGGCCCACACAAUGACUUAAGAUGUCAAAAACCUCUCGUAAGUGAUGUUGUUUGCAACAGUAGGCAAGAGUUGAGCAAGAAUCGUUCCAACUCUCACAGGCAAUGAUCUCCAAUGCAAACUCUCAGACGUGACGAUCUCCAACACUUAAAUGAUAAUAGUCAUUGCCUGCACUCACACAAGUAAUGAUUUCCACUACCUGAAAGAAUUGGACACAAGUUAAUUCGAGUCCUACAGGCGACGCCAACCAACAUCCACCCUCCACGCAGACAAUCCUCUCAAUCGCUCAUGAAGGUUGAAUAAAAGUCACGACCAACCACCACCUGGAUAAUGGUUAGAAAUCACUACUAUUAUGAGAAACAUUGUUAUUAUGAGAAAUGUUGUUGUAUGACUAAUUUGUUGAGUUCAUCUCAUUUGGGGGCCCAAAAGCCCAAAGUCUAAAUAAGCUUGGUUGGUUUGUAAUUAUUACUAAGCCUUGGACUUGGAUGGAAUUUGUCAUGUAAUUUGGCUAUAAAAGCAAGUGCUGCCCUAAUGGAAUUGUGCGUGAAAGAUAGCGGCAACAACUUUUGGUGGAAGAAAAGCAGCGAGAGAGAGAGAGAGAGAGAGAGAGAGAGAGAGAGAAGCUAGUAGAAGGGAAUAGUGAUUUCAAUCUUUAAUUGAGUGAACGGAAGGCGAAAUUAACUUCGUUUUCUCCCAAAUUUUGAGGGUAAGUUCCUGGUAUCACCCUCUAUAAUCCUAUUAGUGUUGAUUUUUAUUUUAUCAUCUCUUUGGCUAUUAUUUGAGAUACUCAUUUAUUAGAGAGAUAGUUAUUAGACUGUUAUUGUAAGCCAAGAAUAGUGAGAUUCUUGAUAUUGGUAGCCUUUAGUAUUAUCUAGAGAAGAAUUUGUGAUAUAAUCUCAUUAAUAUAGUGAAAGAUUAUAUCAGACUACGGUCCCGUGAUUUUUCCCGCUUUAAGUUUUCCACGUAAAAAUUUGUGUCUCUUGUGGUUGGUUUUUGCUUUGAAUUUAUUAGUUUAUUUUUCUGCCUAUUUAUUUGUGGUGCACAUCCUAUUUUAAUCGCACAAAGAGGAACAUAGUUUAUUUCUGCUUAAUUUGCAGCUGCUUACAGUAGUCCCUUUCCCCACAGAGUGGUAUCAGAGCUUCAGGUUUUAUUUUUAUUACUUAUAUGGUUGAGAUGGAGGAUUCAUCGGCAUGCAUGAUUAAAUUGAAGUCAUGGAAUUAUGGUAUUUAGAAAUCUAGGAUGAAAGAUUUGUUGUACAUGAAAGACUUGUAUGAACCCAUUGAAGGCGAAGAAGCUAGACCCGCUGAUUUAGAUGAUAAGAAAUGAGCUUAAUUAAACCAGAAGGUCGUGGGUACUAUUAGAUCAUGGAUUGAUCAAAGUGUGUACCACCAUGUGGCGAAGGAAUCCAGAGCUAAUGUUCUUUGGAGAAAAUUAGAGACAAUUUAUGAGCAGCCGACAACACAGAAUAAAGCCAUUCUGAUGAAAAGGCUUGUUAACUUGAAAUACAAAGAAGGGUGUAAUAUGACUGAACACACUAAUGGGUUUCAGGGCUUGGUUGAUCAGUUGACUACUAUGAAGAUUAUUCUAGAUGAUGAGUUACAACCACUAUUGUUGCUUAGUUCUUUGCCUGACAGUUGGGAGACAUUAAUGGUGUCAGUGAAUAUUUUAGUGCCAAACGGUAAAUUAACUUUGGAUAUGGUUACAAAUAGGCUGCGGAAUGAAGAAUCUAGAAGAAAGAGUGUUAAAGCAAUUCCCUCUGAGUCAAAUGCACUUGUUUCAGAAAAGCAAAAAAUACGAGGGAGGAGCCAAAGCAAAAAUUCCUGCUAGCAGAAUAAUGAUAACCCCAGAGGAAGAUCUAAGUCCUAGAGGAGAAACCUCAAGUGCUUUCAUUGUCAGAAAAUGGGCCACAUUAAAAAAGAGUGUAGAUUGUGGAAAAGAGAAUAGGCGAAAGAAAAUGGUAGUGCUCAGAAAAAUGACAAAGAGAACACUGCAGCCAUAGUUGAUAGUGAUUUGGGUAUUAUUUAUGAUGAGAGUUCAGUAAAUCUCACUUGCCAUGCUAGUGAUUGAGUGAUUGAUUCGAGUAUUUUGUUUCAUGUUACUGCACAUCGUGAUUACUUCACAUCCUAUGUUAAUGGUGAUUUCACAUCCUAUGUUAAUGGUGAUUCUUCACAUCCUAUGUUAAUGGUGAUUAUGGCCAUGUUCGGAUGGGAAAUGAGGGGGCAUCCAAGAUUACGGGCAUAGGAGAUAUUUGCUUGGAAACCAACAUUGGCUGUAAGUUAUUACUUCAAGAUGUCAGAUAUAUGCCAAAUAUUCAUCUUAAUUUGAUCUUUAUAGGUAAGCUUGAUGAUAAUGGUUAUACUAACCAAUUUAGUGAAGGAAAAUGGAAGCUCACCAAAGGCUCCCCAGUGUUAGCUAAGGGGAGGAAAGUAAACACUCUCUAUAUGAUAUAAGCCAAGAUUAAGAAGGAAGAUGUGAAUUUGCUGUAAAAGAUUCUGACAUUGAGACAUGGCAUAGAAGACUUAGUCACAUUAGUGAGAAAGGGUUGGAAACUCUUGCUAGAAAAGGAUUUCUACCCAGCUUCGCAUGUAUGUCCCUUUAGACUUGUGUUCAUUGCUUAGUUGGAAAAACACAAAAAGUAGCUUUUAAAAGUUUUUCUCCAUCUAGAAAGUCACAAAUCCCUGAUUUGAUUCACACUGAUAUUUGCAUGAUGCAAAGUAGAUCAAUAAGAGGUGCACUUUAUUUUGUGAAUUUUAUUGAUGACUGUUCUAGAAAAGUGUGGGCUUUUGCUUUAAAAUCUAAAGACCAUGUGUUUGAUAUAUUUAAGUUCUUCCAUGCUUAUGUUGAGAGAGGGACAAGAUGAAAAUUAAAAUGCGUUAGGGCAAAUAAUAAUGGUGAGUACAGAGGGCCAUUUGAGUAGUAUUGCAAAUCCCGUAAAAUCAGACUUGAGAAAACUGUACCAAAAACCCCGCAGUAGAAUGAUGUUGCAGAAAGGAUGAACAGAACAAUUGAAGAGAUGGUCAAAUGUAUGCUUUCUGAUGCCAAGCUUCCUAAAUCCUUCUGGACAGAGGCUAUGCGUACUGUAGCUGACUUGAUUAACCUUUCUCCUUCAGCUCUAUAUUAGACGAUAAUAUACCUGAGAGUGUUUGGUUGCAGAGCAUAUGUUCACAUCUGUAAAUAUGAGAGAUCGAAACUUGAUGAUAAAGCCAAGGAAUGCAUUUUCUUAGGCAGCAUGAAGAAUUUGGGUACAGAUUAGAAAAUUGAUCAGAAGUAGAGAUGUUAUAUUUCUUGAAAAUCAGAUAGUUGGUGAUGCAGAGAAGAGUGAUGAGUCUCAGUCAUCUCUACAGAUUCCUAUUAUUCUAACUUCAGUUUCUUCACCUGUAGCUCAUGAUGAUCAUGGGGGAGCUGUAGAGGAUAAUAAUGAUGGUCUAUGAGAACUUGUUGACUAAGUACCUCUAGAACCACCAGCACUACCAGUUGAGUUAGAAUUGAUAAGAUCUACCAGAGAACGGCGACCUUCCACUAGAUAUCCUCCACAUGAGUAUGUGAUGUUUAUAGAUGGAGGAGAGCCAAAAUGUUUUGAAGAAGUCAUGUCUCAUCAGCAUAAAAAUGAGUGGGUUAAAACCAUGUAAGAGGAGAUGAAAUCCUUGAAUGAGAAUGUUUAUAGAUGGAGGAGAGCCAAAAUAUUUUGAAGAAGUCAUGUCUCAUCAGCAUAAAAAUGAGUGGGUUAAAGCCAUACAAGAGGAGAUGAAAUCCUUGAAUGAGAACCACACUUAUGACAUAGUAAAGCUGCCUAAGGGAAAGAGAGCACUGAAAAACAAGUGGGUUUACAGGUUGAAGACUGAAAAUAAAUCACAACAACAAUAUAAGGCUAGAUUGGUUGUAAAAGAUUUCAGUCUAAAGAAAUGUGUUGAUUUUGAAGAAAUAUUUUCUCCUAUGAUGAAGACAUCUUCUAUCCGAGUUGUUUUGGGAUUAGUAGCUAGCGAGAUUGAACAGUUUGAUGUAAUGAAAGUUUUCUUACACGGUGACUUAGAUGAGGAAAUAUACAUAGAGCAACCUGAAGGAUUCAAUAUCAAAGGUAAAGAAGAACUUGUGUGCAAGUUGAAGAAAAGUUUGUAUGGGUUGAAACAAGCACCAAGACAGUGGUACAAGAAAUUUGAUUCUUUCAUGGAGAAUCUUGGUUUCAACGAGAUUAUGUACGACUAUUGUGUUUUUGUGAAGAAGUUGAAAUACAAGUGUGCAACCUAAGAGGGGGUGAAUUGAGAUUCUAAAAAUUAUUUGAUUCUAAAACAAAUUAUCAAGCAAAUCUAAAAUGAAUUUAAUGGAAUAACAAUUAAAUCAAUUACAAUAUAAAAAGAUAAGGGAAUAGAGAUUCAAACACGGAGAUUUUUACGUGGUUCAGCCAACCUCGCCUACGUCCACGCCUCCAACUUUCCAGGCUUGAGGAUUUCACUAACCAAGCCUCCAAGGCUUCAAAUGCUUACACUUGACUUCCAAGGUGUCAAUGAACCUUUACAACGAGAGAUUAUCCUCAAUCUCUUAACCCAAGUGUAUCCCAACACUUACAAUCACUCAAAGUAAAAGAUUAAAAAUUAUUUUUCUCUCACACAAUAUUUAAGAUUACAAAUCAAUGCCCAAUGUGGGAAUAGAUGAAGUAAGAAUGUGUUUUAAAGCUCUAUGAAGAUUGUAUUCUCAAAUAUAAGCUCAAUGGUCGUGUUGUGAUCAAUCUUGUUUGAUUUUGAAUGAGCUUAUUUAUACUUGGAGCUAAAAAACUAGCCGUUAUAGACUGUCUGCUCGAAAACGGUUCGCCGUUAGACAUUAACGGUUAACCGUUUCAUCUGGUCAAUGUUACCGUUGGACUAAUUUUUAAAUAAACGGUUUGCCGUUUAGGGUUAACCUUUCAUCGUUAAAUUCCAGAGACCUGCAAGAUGAACAUCAGUUAUCCGUUUACAUUAAACGGUUAAGGAUUUGCAUGAAAUGACCUCUCUGGAAAUUAUCGGUUAAUCGUUUGUAAUAAACGGUUCGCCGUUUGUUUCCAGUAACCUGCAAAACAAAUUAGUCUUAUCCGGUUUUGUUAAACGGUGCCAGAUGAGUACAAUCUUCAAUUCUGGAUUUUAUCGGCUAACCGUUUAAAUAAAAGGUUCAUCGUUAAAUUUCAGUAGCCUUCCCAGCUUUUGUGUUUUGCAUUUUUCUUAAUCGGUUAGAGCUUAGGCAGUAUGUUGCUCUCUGGUUUUAAUCGGUUAACCGUUUAAAAGAAAACGAUUCACCGUUUAUUUCCAGAAUCAUAUUUUAAACCAAAUUUUGCAGAGAAUCAUUUUCUAAUUUGAAAGUCCAUCUUUUAUUAAUAUAAUUGGAAUGAUUAUAAGGCUUUCGUUUAUUUAAGAAAUAGCUACAACAUUUUAUAAAAAACCAUUUAAAGUUUGUUAUCAUCAAAAUCAAUAUUAUUAACAUAUUCAUGUUAACAAUCUCCCACUUUUUGAUGAUGACAAAUUUCAAUCAAUAUUUUGCUCCCCCUUAAUAAAAGCUCCCCCUAAAUGUAUGGCCAAAUUAAGAAAUGUCCAAUAAAAUGAUUUUUGCUCAAGAAAACAUUUUUAAAUUCAUUUUAAAUCUCCCUAUAAUUAUCUCCCCCUUCAUCAUCAAAAAGAAAAGAGAGAAAAGAAAACCGUAAAUCCGUUAAAGAAAGAAGUUAUCCAGUUUUGGCGAGCGAAAAUUUUGGCAGAGUUUCCCCUUAAAAAGGAACAAAACCACUAAUACAAGAUGAGAUUUAAAAACACUUCUAAAAUAUAGUAACAACAACUCCAUCAUCCAACAAACCAACAACUCCAUUUACCAAGAAACCAACAACUCCAUCAACCAAUAUCAAAUCAGCCAAUAUCAAGUCAUCCAACAUCAAGAACAUCAUAAAAACAUGUCAUCAAAAUCCAUCAAGAUCAUAUAGAGGUAGCAGUGUAUAUAAAAAUAGAAAUAACAACACUGUCCAGCGAUAAGCUCAAGCUGCUGAUCAAUGCUCUGCUGCUAGAAGGUCUGAAAGUCAGAACGGAGCUGUUUGUGGUCACGGGAGAAAGUGUCCAAACGAUCGAUAAUCAACUGUUGCCGCUCCGAAAUCCUGCGAACAUCAGCAACCAACUGCUGCAUAACGUCCGAAGCAGGGGACUGAACUGGAGCUGGAGGUGGCUCAGAAGCAGAGGGCUGCUCAGGAACAGCAGAUGGCUCAGGAGCAGGAGGCUGCUCAGGAGCCAGAGGCAGCUCGGAAGAGGAGGGAAUGUCAGCAUCCAUCGGACGCUCCUAAGAGUCAGAGUCAGCUGGAGGCCAGGGGACAAAACGGCGACGCGGAGGAUGAUGAUGAGCUCCUAAUCUAAAAUUUGGAAGUUUAUCAAGAGGAUAGACAUCGUUGAGCAUCCGAUCGUCCUCUGGAGCAAUCAAGGUAUCCCGAUUUUUUGAGUUUUUAGUCUUUAUCCACUCUCCAUUCUUCUUAGAAAAACUGAUACUAGUCAUGGCCUCUGAACCAAUCCGUCUAAUCUCAAUAUAACCGGUAUUGAGAAGAGGCACGUCAAAGUGUUGCAGUAUCUUAGUAAUGAUACUGGCAAAUAGAAGCAAGCAGUGGUUAACCGCGGGAGUACUCAACAUAUGCCGCACAAUAACAUAGCCGAGGUUAAUGGGACGACUUAAAAUGAGGCUAUCUAAUAGGCCAACAUCCAACCUCGUAACCUCAUCUGAGUGACCCUUCCUAGGAGUCACUAUGUGCUGUAAAAUAAUGUGAAGAAUACGAACUUGGAGAGGUAAAAGUUGAGACUGAAAAGGUAGAUUACAGAUCUCAUUAGACAAGUCUCGACGGCGACAAAUAUUAUGGACUCCAUCAACAUGACUAAAAACCGUCAAAAGAAAGGGCUUUCCUAGAGGUAUAAAUUUCAUGACCCUCACUAGAGAUACCUAGAAAGCCAUUUAGGUCCUCAUCAUUAAAUUCUAUAGGCACACCACCUACUUGAGUAACUAUCCUAUCUAGGCGAGCUGCGGAGAUUUCCAUGUUCGAAUAAAAGACUCGCACUAAAUUGGGAUAAACUCGGUCAUCAAAGUCAAUGGCAGACUCCCAAGGCUGAAGCAUAUCCCUAAUGCUUCUACCACACACAACUAAGAUACUGAAAUCAUCUAAUUCAACAUAGAAAGAGUCAAGUACGUUUCUACCAUUGAAGCGAUCCUCGAACCGCUUGGCCAAGGAAGGCAUGGGGAAAUGAAUUCUUUCGAAUUCAGAGACUUCCCGUGGUGGUAUAUGAUUCCUUUGAGGCACAGAUUUUCUCCUGAGAUUUCUCCGAGGGGGCUCAGCCAUAGUAAAGAGUAAGGAAGUUUGAAAAUUUUGAGAGAGAUGUGAGGAGAAGAAGAUGAACCGAUUAUUUGUUUAAGAAUGAGUAAAGGAUGUGAUUUUGAGGCUCAAUUUGGUUAAAGAAGGGCAAGACUUAGGUAAAAAUUGAAGAAACCCGAACGGCUGCACUUAGGGUUUGGAUUUGGGAUUUUUUGAUUUUGGGCUUGAUUUGAAGAUUUGAAUUGGUGAAAGUGUUCUAAAGGUGAUAAGAAAUGAUGUUAUAGGUUUGAUUUGGCAAGAAAAACAAGAAAAAUGAAGGUUUGAGGGCAGAGGAAGCUUCGACUGCGCAACAAUGGCCGAAAUAGUGAAAGGUCAACUGGAGAAGGAGAAGAAAAACCUUUGAACAAUUUUAUAUUCACGAAAACGGUUAACCGUUUAUUUAAACGAUUAACCGUUUAUUUAAACGGUUAAAGGAUAACUUCCAGAGGCUAAGGAAUGGGAAACGGUGAAAGGUUAAUCACUUAACGGCUAAGGAGUAACUUCUAGUGAGCUCUCUGUUUUUAAAUGGUUUACCGAUUACAUCAAACGGUGAAAGGGUAAAAAGGUAGACAUCAUAAUCUAAUUUCUAGAAUAAAACGGUUCAUUGUUUAUUGGAAACGGUUAUUCGUUUAUUUUAUCUAUAAUUUUGCACAUUUGAUUUAAUUUUCGGCCAGCAAAUAAUACAUUCCAAGAUCAUUUAAUUGAUCUAAAAAUGUUUUAUUAGCCAUUUUAAUGCAUGAUUUAUGAAUAUAUAUUCAAGCAAUUAAUUCAUAUAAUAUUUCAAGAAUUAACAAAGCAAACACAUCACUUGAAUAUCAAGCUUAAGCAUUUCAUAAAUAUUGAAUCAUCAAAUCACCAAUAAGUCAAUUAAUUCAAUACACUCAAUAACAUGAAUAAAGACAUUAAUACGAAAAUUUCAUCAUCCCAAGUUCAUGCCGAAUUUUUGAAAAUUGUUCUUCCCCAAGAGGUUUGGUAAAAAUAUCGGCGAGUUGUUUUUCUGUAGAAAUAAAUUCUAAUGCAAUAUCCCCAUUUUGAACAUAAUCUCUCCAGAAAUGAUGUCUUAUUUCUAUAUGUUUGGUUCGAGAGUGUUGAAUGGGAUUCUUUGAAAGAUUUAUAGCACUAGUAUUAUCACACUUAAUAGGAAUUUGUUCUAGGUUAAUAUCAUAGUCUCUAAGUGUUUGUUUCAUCCAAAGAGCUUGUGCACAACAACUUCUUGCAGCUAUAUAUUCAGCCUCGGUAGUUGAGAGUGCAACAUAAUUUUGUUUCUUGCUAAACCAUGAGUCAUUUUGUUUUAUUUGCAGCCCAAGGAAGUACUUCAACUCUCCCAUCAUACUCAUUUCAAAUUCAUUACUCAUGCAAAAUGAAAAUUCUUUACACAAUAAUUCAUUAGUAGAACCAAAAAUAAUAUCAUCAACAGAAAUUUGAACAACAAGUAUGUAUUUGUCCUUAUGUUUAACAAAUAGAGUAGUAUCUGCUUUACCCAUUGAAAAAUUAUUUUCUAACAAGAAAUUCUUAAAUCUAUCAUACCAUGCUCUAGGUGCUUGUUUUAAGCCAUACAAAGCUUUAAAUAACUUAUAAACAUGAUUCGGAAAUUUUUCAUUUUCAAAACUAGGGGGUUGUUUUAGAUACACUUCUUCCAUUAUAAAACCAUUCAAAAAAUCACUUUUCACAUCCAUUUGAAAUAAGAUGAAAUCUUUAUGACAUGCAAAUGCCAACAACAUUCUAAUUGAUUCUAGUCUAGCUACGGGUGCAAAUGUUUCAUCAAAAUCAAUUCCUUCUUCUUGGUUGUAACCUUGAGCCACUAAUCUAGCUUUAUUCCUUACAACCACACCGGAUUCAUCCAUCUUAUUUCUAAAUACCCAUUUAGUACCUAUGACGGAUUGAUGUUCCGGUUUAGGAACUAAUUCCCACACAUUGUUUCUUUCAAAUUGAUUUAACUCCUCUUACAUUGUCAUAAUCCAAGAUUCAUCAUUUUCCGCAUUCGUAAAGGAUUUGGGUUCAAUUUGAGAAAUAAAUGCAUUAUGCUCACAAGUAUUCUUAAGUGAUAAUCUAGUUGUAACACCUCGUGAGGGAUCUCCUAAAAUUACAUCCUUAGGGUGAUAAGAAACAUACCUCCACUCUUUGGGGAGUGAUUGAGAAGUACCUUCAUUUUGCUCUACAUUCAUUUCUUCAUGUUGCUCAUCUUGAUUCCCAUGAGACGCAUCCUUUUGAUUAUCUUUUGAUGAUUCUUUUUGUAAGUUUUCAUCUACAUCAUUAUCAACAACAACUUUCUCCGUAGAGGAAGGAUUAGAUUCAUCAAAUGUAACAUGCAUCGUUUCUUCUACAACUAGAGUUCUUUUGUUAUAAACUCUAUAAGCUUUGCUUGAGUUUGAAUAUCCAAGAAAAAUACCCACAUCGAAUUUUGAAUCAAAUUUACCAAGGUUAUCUUUUGUGUUCAAAAUAAAAUAUUUGCAUCCAAAAACUUUGAAAUAACCAAUAUUGAGUUUUCUAUUUUUCCAAAGCUCAUAUGGAGUUUUGUUAAGGUUAGGUCUAAUCAACACACGAUUUAAAACAUAACAAGUGGUGUUGACGGCCUCGGCCCAAAAAUACUUAGGCAAUGAAUUUUCAUUCAACAUAGUCCUAGCCAUUUCUUGAAUGGAUCUAUUCUUUCUCUCAACAACUCCAUUUUGUUGUGGAGUUCUAGAUGAUGAAAAUUGAUGCUCAAUACCAAAAUCAUUACAAAAAGUCUCAAAUGCAUGAUUUUCAAACUCUCCUCCAUGAUCACUCCUAAUGCAUGCAAUACCAUACCCUUUUUCAUUUUGAAUUUUCUUACAAAGCACUUUAAAGCCAUCAAUAGCAUCAUCCUUAUUAGCUAAGAAUAAUACCCAUGUAUAUCUAGAAUAAUCAUUCACUAUCACAAAUGCAUAAUAUUUGCCAUUUAGACUAGCAUAUCUAGAGGGUCCAAAUAAAUCUAUGUGAAGAAGUUGAAGUGGUUUUGAAGUAGAAAUAUGAUUUUUAUUUUUGAAAGAUGUUUUGAUUUGUUUUCCAAAUUGACAAGCUUCACAAAUCUUAUCUUUUUGAAAACCAAAUUUUGGAAGACCUUUAACUAAAUCAUCUUUCGAAAUUUUCGAAAUCAAAUCCAUACUUGCAUGUCCUAACCUUCUAUGCCAUAACCAACUAUCAUCAUGCAAUGCCGAAAAAAAUUUAUCAAUAAUAGAUGCACAUUCUAUGUCAAUGAUAUAAACAUUACCACAUCUAUUUCCAACAAAUAAGAUCUUGCCAUCACAUGAAUUCUCAAUAACACAACUAAAUUUAUCAAAGAUAAUUUUAUAACCUUUGUCACAUAAUUGACUAAUACUAAUUAAGUUGUGUUUCAAGUUCUCAACCAAACAUACAUUCUCAAUUAGAGUUGAGGAAACUUUACCAACAUUUCCAAUUCCAAGAAUUUUUUCUUUUGAGUUGUCUCCGAAAGAUAUGUCUCCACCAUUUUCAAUUUUGGUGAAGCUUGAGAACCAUGCAUAGUUUCCGGUCAUGUGCCUUGAACAACCAUUGUCCAAGUACCAUUUAUUUUUCUUCUUCUUCAAGCCCUUCAAAGAAAAUUUCAAGUUUUAGGUACCCAAAGCUUUUUAGGUCCUUGAGAGUUAGUAGUGAUUCCUUUUGGAACCCAAAUGCAUUUCAUACCAUAAUAUGCAUUUCUUUUUACUAGACAUCUAUUUUUCAUAUGACCAUCUUGAUUACAAAAAUGACAUAUAAUUUGAUUGUUACUAGAUGUACUCUUCACAAAGUAGUUUUUAUAAUAUUUUUGUUUCAAGUUUGGCUUAUAACCAAUACCUCCUUUGUCAAACACACAUUUUUGUGAAUUAAGCAUGUUAUCCAACAUCUUUUGCCCAUUUGUAAAUUCAAAACAAUCUUAUUCAACUCAUUGCUCUUUUUCUUAAGCAUUUCGUUUUCAUUUUUCAAAUCAUCUAUGUGUGAUUCUAAAUGUUCAUGUGAGAUGCUAGGUUUCUCAUUUGAUAAUGCAAUUUCAUCAUGCAAUGUUUUGUUCUCUACUUCUAGGCAUGCAAUUCUUGCAUUUAGAGAUUCAUUUUCAUUUUUAAGCUUUGCCAUUUCUUUUUUAAGACAUACAUUCUUUUUACCAAUCUUCAUCAACUCAUUAUGCAAUUCUUUAAAAGCAUCAUAUAAUUCAUCAUAGGUGGGAUCAUUUACCUCAUUGAGAUCAUCAUCCCCUCCUAUUGCCAUAAGCGCUAGGUUCGAUACUUCUUGCGACCCUUCUUCAUCACUUGAAUCUUCCUCGCUAUCAUCCCAAGUUGCAACCAUGGCUUUCUUCUUGAGUUUGUUGAUAAAUGGGCACUCCAAUCUUAUAUGGCCAUGCUUCUUGCAUUCAUAGCAUGUGAUUACCUCUUUCUUCUCCCUUUGGUUCUUGAAGCUUCUGAAAUUUCUUCGCUUUUUUUCUUACAAAGCACUUUAAAGGUAUCAAGAGCAUCAUCCUUAUUAGCUAAGAAUAAUACCCAUCUAUAUUUAGAAUAAUCAUCCACAAUCACAAAUGCAUAAUAUUUUCCAUUUAAACUAGCAUAUCUAGAGGGUCCAAAUAAAUCUAUGUGAAGAAGUUGAAGUGGUUUUGAAGUAGAAAUAUGAUUUUUAUUUUUGAAAGAUGUUUUGAUUUGUUUUCCAAAUUGACAAGCUUCACAAAUCUUAUCUUUUUGAAAACCAAAUUUUGGAAGACCUUUAACUAAAUCAUCUUUCGAAAUUUUCGAAAUCAAAUCCAUACUUGCAUGUCCUAACCUUCUAUGCCAUAACCAACUAUCAUCAUGCAAUGCCGAAAAAAAUUUAUCAAUAGAGUAGAUGCACAUUCUAUGUCAAUGAUAUAAACAUUACCACAUCUAUUCCCAACAAAUAAGAUCUUGCCAUCACAUGAAUUCUCAAUANNNNNNNNNNNNNNNNNNNNNNNNNNNNNNNNNNNNNNNNNNNNNNNNNNNNNNNNNNNNNNNNNNNNNNNNNNNNNNNNNNNNNNNNNNNNNNNNNNNNNNNNNNNNNNNNNNNNNNNNNNNNNNNNNNNNNNNNNNNNNNNNNNNNNNNNNNNNNNNNNNNNNNNNNNNNNNNNNNNNNNNNNNNNNNNNNNNNNNNNNNNNNNNNNNNNNNNNNNNNNNNNNNNNNNNNNNNNNNNNNNNNNNNNNNNNNNNNNNNNNNNNNNNNNNNNNNNNNNNNNNNNNNNNNNNNNNNNNNNNNNNNNNNNNNNNNNNNNNNNNNNNNNNNNNNNNNNNNNNNNNNNNNNNNNNNNNNNNNNNNNNNNNNNNNNNNNNNNNNNNNNNNNNNNNNNNNNNNNNNNNNNNNNNNNNNNNNNNNNNNNNNNNNNNNNNNNNNNNNNNNNNNNNNNNNNNNNNNNNNNNNNNNNNNNNNNNNNNNNNNNNNNNNNNNNNNNNNNNNNNNNNNNNNNNNNNNNNNNNNNNNNNNNNNNNNNNNNNNNNNNNNNNNNNNNNNNNNNNNNNNNNNNNNNNNNNNNNNNNNNNNNNNNNNNNNNNNNNNNNNNNNNNNNNNNNNNNNNNNNNNNNNNNNNNNNNNNNNNNNNNNNNNNNNNNNNNNNNNNNNNNNNNNNNUACCUCAUUGAGAUCAUCAUCCUCUCCUAUUGCCAUAAGCGCUAGGUUUGAUACUUCUUGUGACCCUUUUUCAUCACUUGAAUCUUCCUCUCUAUCAUCCCAAGUUGCAACCAUGGCUUUCUUCUUAAGUUUGUUGAUAAGUGGGCACUUCGAUCUUAUAUGGCCAGGCUUUUUGCAUUCAUAGCAUGUGAUUACCUCUUUCUUCUCCCUUUGGUUCUUGAAGCUUCUGAAAUUUCUUCGCUUUUCGGUUUUCUUGAAGAAUUUUUUGAACCUCCUUGCUAGCAUGGCUAGCUCUUCAUCAUCCGGUUCACUUUCCCCAUCACUCUCAUAUUUUGAAGCUUUGAGAGCAAUGCUUUUCUUCUUCUCCUCAUGCCCUUUUUCUGCUGCCAAAUCUUCUUCAUAUGAAAUGAGAGAACCAAUUAAAUCAUCAAGAGGUAAAGUAUUUAAAUCUUUGGCCUCUUCAAUAGCGGUUCUUUUAGGUCUCCAUUCUUUUGGAAGUGACCUAAUGAUUUUCUUAACUUUCUCGCUAUUUAAGAAGACCUUUCCUAGGGCUCCUAGGGUGUUUACUAUGUCCGUAAAUCUCGUAUACAUAGAGUACACACUCUCAUUUUGUUCAAUUUGGAACAACUCAUAUUGUCGAGUGUACCUACUAAUUUUUUACUAUUUCAUUUUAUUUGUGCCUUCAUAGACUACUUCAAGUUUGUGCCAAAUUUCAUUGGCACUUUCACAACUAGAUACUCGAUGAAAUUCUUUCUUAUCAAGUGCACAAAAUAAAGCAUUCAUAACUUUGGAAUUUAGAAAAACUUUUCUCUUUUCUCAUUCAUUCCAUUCUCUUGAAGGUUUUGGAAUAUCUUCCCUGACUUCAUUUUUAUUUAGGGGCAAAAACAGACCAUCACAUACAACUUCCCAAAUUUCAUAAUCUAGUGCUUGUAAAUAAAUUCUCAUCCUAGUUUUCCAAUAUGGGUAGUCAUUUCCGUCAAAGAAUGGUGGUCUAGUUGUGGAUUGUCUUUCCCUAAAAGUUGAGUCAUUUUGGGUUGCUAUGGAUCUUUUACUCUAGACGGCUAAGUCCUAACAAGAGAACCAAGCUCUGAUACCAAAUGAAAUACAAGUGUGCAACCCAAGAGGGGGGGUGAAUUGAGAUUCUAAAAAUUAUUUGAUUCUAAAACAAAUUAUCAAGCAAAUCUAAGAUGAAUUUAAUGGAAUAACAAUUAAAUUAAUUACAAUAUAAAAAGAUAAGGGAAGAGAGAUUCAAACACGGAGAUUUUUACGUGGUUCGGUCAACCUCACCUAUGUCCGCGCCUCCAAGCUUUCCGGGCUUGAGGAUUUCACUAAGCACGCCUCCAAGGCUUCAAAUGCUUACACUUGACUUCCAAGGUGUCAAUGAACCUUUACAACAAGAGAUUAUCCCCAAUCUCUUAACCCAAGUGUAUCCCAACACUUACAAUCACUCAAAGUAAAAGAUUAAAAAUUAUUUUUCUCUCACACAAUAUUUAAGAUUACAAAUCAAUGCCCAAUGUGUGAAUAGAUGAAGCAAGAAUGUGUUUUAAAGCUCUAUGAAGAUUGUAUUCUCGUGUUAUGAUCAAUCUUGUUUGAUUUUGAAUGAGCUUAUUUAUACUUGGAGCUAAAAAACUAGCCGUUAUAGACUGUCUGCUCGAAAACGGUUCGCCAUUAGACAUUAACGGUUAACCAUUUCAUCUGGUCAAUGUUACCGUUCCGCUAAUUUUCAAAUAAACGGUUUGUCGUGUAGGGUUAACCUUUCGCCGUUAAAUUCCAAAGACCUGCAAGAUGACAUCAGUUAUCCGUUUACAUUAAACGGUUAAGGAUUUGCAUGAAAUGACCUCUCUGGAAAUUAUCGGUUAACCAUUUGUAAUAAAAGGUUCGCCGUUUGUUUCCAGUAACCUGUAAAAUAAAUUAGUCUUAUCCGAUUUUGUUAAACGGUGCCAGAUGAGUACAAUCUUCAAUUCUGGAUUUUAUCGGUUAACCGUUUAAAUAAAAGGUUCACCGUUAAAUUCCAGUAGCCUUCCCAGCUUUUUGUGUUUUCCAUUUUUCUUAAUCGGUUAGAGCUUAGGCAAUAUGUUGCUCUUUGGUUUUAAUCGGUUAACCGUUUAAAAGAAAACGGUUCACCGUUUAUUUCCAGAAUCAUAUUUGAAACCAGAUUUUGCAGAGAAUUAUUUUCUAAUUUGAAAGUCCAUCUUUUAUUAAUAUAAUUGGAAUGAUUAUAAGACUUUCGUUUAUUUAAGAAAUAGCUCCAACAUUUUAUAAAAAAUCAUUUAAAGUUUAUUAUCAUCAAAGUCAAUAUUAUUAACAUAUUCAUGUUAACAGAAGUUUGGUGAUAAUGAUUUUAUCAUUCUUUUGCUUUAUGUGGAUGAUAUGUUGAUUGUUGGCCAGGAUGCUAAUAAGAUUGACAAUAUGAAGAUAGAGCUUAGUGAGUCUUUUGCAAUGAAGAACUUGGAACCGGCGAGACAAAUUCUUGGCAUGAAGAUUUCCCGUGAUAGAAAAGUUAGGAAGUUAUGGUUAUCUCAAGAAGUAUAUGUUGGAAGAGUUCUUGAAAGAUUUAACAUGAGCAAGGAAAAAUCUGUUUGUUCUCCACUUGCAAGACAUUUCAAGCUUAGUUCUGAGUAUUGUCCUACAAGUGAGAAAAAGAAGCAAAAGAUGAGAGGAGUUCAUUAUGCUUCGGCAAUUGGUAGUUUGAUGUACGCCAUGGUUUGUACAAAACCAGAUAUUACUCAUGCAGUUAGUGUAGUUAGUCGGUUUUUCUCCAAUCCGGAUAAAGAACAUUGGACGGCAGUGAAGUGGAUUCUCAGAUAUCUUAAAGGCACUUCCAAGGCUUGUUUAUGUUUUAGUGGUGACAAACCUGUGUUACAAGUGUACACGGAUGCAGAUAUGGCAGGAGAUGUUGACUCGAGAAAAUCUUUGUCAUGAUAUUUGCUCACCUUUGCAGGGGGAGCAGUCUCAUGGCAGUCCAGACUUCAGCAUUGUUUUGCUUUGUCUACCACAAUAUAUUGCAAUUACUGAAGGUUGCAAAGAAAUCUUGUGGAUGAAGAAUUUCCUACAAGAGUUGGGUGUGAAGCAAGAUAACUUUAUUGUGUACUGCAGAGUGCCAUUCAUUUAGCAAAAAAUUCAACAUACCAUUCAAAAUCCAAGCAUAUUGGUGUGAGGUAACAUUAGAUACGAGACGUACUUGAGAAGAAACAGUUACAGGUUGAUGAGAUACACACAACGAAGAAUGGGUCAGAUAUGAUAACAAAGUUAUUACCUAAGGAGAAGCUAAAAAACUAUAUGCAGAGAACAGGGGGUGUGUUUGUCCUUUUCCCUUCUUAAUUUACAGUAAUAAUUUAAUAAUUAUUUUUUAAAUAAAUAGAUAUUUUAAAUAAUAACUAAAAAAGAAUAAAAUAAAAAUAAACACCAAUAAAAUUAUAGAAGGCGAUAAUGAAAUUCUUAUACUAUAAUCCCAUUAAUAUAAUAAAAAAUUAUAUCGAACUACAAUCUCGUAAUUUUUCCCACUAUAAAUUUUUUAUGUAAAAAUCUAUAACUCUUAUAAUUAAUUUUUACUUUAAAUUUAUUAAUUUAUUUUUCACCUAUUUAUUUAUGAUAAACAUCCUAUUUUAAUCAGAUAAGGAGAAAAAAAAUUAUUUCCGUAAGUAGUCCUUUCCCAACAUAAUUCUAUACAUAAAUUUCUCAAUUUAUUUAUGCACUUAAAAAGCUGGACAUGUAGAUCACAAAACCUUAACAUACACAUUGCGCUAGGCACACAUCAUUAUAAUUACAGGAUCUGAACAUCAAUGACCUUGCGCUCCACAUGGGUCUUAGGAAUUGAAAUGUAAAGAACACCAUUCUUCAGCUCUGCAUCUCAAUUUAUUUAUACACUUACAAAGCUGGACAUGUAGAUCACAAAACCUCAACAUACACAUUUCGCUAGGCACUCAUUAUUAUAAUUACAGAAUCUGAACAUCAAUGACCUUGCGCUCCACCUUUGUCUUAGGAAUUGAAAUGUAAAGAACACCAUUCUUGAGCUCUGCCUUGACCUUAUCUUUCUCACAGUUAUCAGGAAGCUGGAGACGAGUAUCGUAAGAGCUAAAACUUGCACCUCCAGCUUCUUCUGCCCUGUGCUCUCCUUUAAUGACAAGGACUUCAUCUUCCACCGACACUUUGACAUCCUCCUUAGAGAGUCCAGGCAUGUCAAAUCUCAUUUUGAUCUCAUUUUCCUCCUCUUUGAUGUCCCACGGUGUUCUCACCUGGCCUCCCCCGCCAGCCCGGCUCCUCCCCGGAAAAGCCAUCGUAUCCUCUAAUAGACGGUCCAUUGUGUCCAGCAUCUGCCGCAUUGUCCUCGUUGGAAACGAGGGAUCCAUCAAACCUGCAACCCAAAGUCGUACAUUUUUUAGAAUUGGGUAAUUAAAUCGGUGUUCAAUUUACUUCCAAACCUUAUGAUUUAACAUAAUCAGUAUUUUAUUAACUAUAAAAUCAUGCAAAGGCAACUGCUCAAUACCCCUAGCAGCCGCAACGCAAACUAACAUAGUCUAACAGAGCAUGUAAAACUUGUAUUAUUUAAAUCACUGAAUCCUACAGGCAACGGACGAAGGCAAAGACAAAUUUAAUUCGCUGAACUUACCGAAAGGUGAAAUAUCGAGAGCCGUUCUUCGAGGCCUCCUCUCCACUUGGGUUCCUUGGUUACCGGAAUUAACAUGGACGUCAACCGAAGUAUCCUUGUUCUCCCCACCAGCCUGAGCUCUCACGGCUUGUAGCCGAUAGGCGCCUUUCCUUGACGUUGCCGGUAAGGUUACCGAGCAUGGCGCCACAUUUCUCCUAGCUAUUGAGGUCCUGGCCUCGCGCGAUACCAAGGGUGAUGAUGAUGAGAUAGAUAAUGUUGCAGCCAUUUAUUUUCACUUUGUUUUCUGAGCACUUGAGAGAAUCGACCGAUGGUUUCGUGGAGUGAGGAGUGGAGAUAUAUAUACACACACACACACAGAGGGAGAGAGAGGCAAUCAAUGAGAUGUGAACAAGUGUGAAAGAUUGGAGAGGCAUCAUGAAACUUGUAGAGUACGAAAAUUCUGGACUCAACGCCCAUCAUCCACCAUCCAAAUUAUACGUGAUUAUACUUUUGUGUCUUCUUCUUUCUACUGGUUUCUCAUCCAUUCGGGAAGCAUCGCGAAUGAAAAACUUUUUAUUUACAAUUGGACCCUUAUAUUUUAUUGUAUUUUACUUAAAAGGACCCGGAUCAUGCUUUCAAUUGUCCCAUACAUAGUACAAGUUGCACUGUUUUCAAUUUUUUACUAGUGAAUAGUGAAAAUUAAGCAACAUUCAUUGAGUACUAAUAACUUUUUUUUUUUUUAUAGUACAAGUUGCACUGUUUUUAAGCAACAUUCAUUGAGUACUAAUAACUAAGCAACAUUCAUUGAGUACUAAUAACUUUUUUUUUUUUUUAAAGUCCGGUAACAUACACCAAACUACCAAUGAAUUAAAAAUAUGGAAACGUUAAUAUUGGAAGACAUUCCGUUAACAGUCCCCCAGGACAGGGCCAAAUUAUUGGUGAAAAUAAAAAAAAUCUUUCCCCGUCGAGCUAAAAGUUCAGAGUAGAAACUAUGGAAUAGGCUUUCUAAUAGUUGACAAGGAAUUUGAUUGGACUUCAUAUGCACCGAGUAGGAAAUACAUUUAGACAAAAUGCGUUCAGUUACAAUUGUUACAAUUGUUACAACUUCCAGAACGCAUCUUGUUACAAUUGUUACAAUUAUUUUAAAUUCAGUUACAGACAUCCAACGGUUCUGGAGACUAUUCUACGUUGGAGCUGCUCCAACCGUAGCAACUGCCAUGCAAAAAUAAUGUUGCUCUUUACCUCUUUCAUUGGUGCUAUAUGAGGAUCGAUUAUAAACUUUGAAUUUCAAAUUUUGUAAGCUUACCAAAACUAUUGAAUAAAUCAUAAGACUGCGUAUGCGAAGUUGUAUUAGAUGGUAAAUACAUUUACAGUCCUUGUACAGUCGUAUGGUAACAAACUUUAAAUAGCUAUUUUUUGAGUUUACUAAUUGGCAUUUGGUCGGUAAAAUACCUACCCGUCCAUACAGAAACACCAAGAAACCAGAGUAUACAAAAUGCUAUAACUCAAGCCACAAUAUAAACUGAAGAUCUACACACGGCUGGAAUGAAAUUCCCAGCCAAAAAAGACAAGAAUGAAAACACUCGAAUGUGGAUCAAACGCGUCCAGGAAGUCUCUUAGAUAAAAUCAGAACCACCCGGGCGAAACUCCAGGUCUGGAUGAGUCCGAUCAGGCCCUCGUGGGUUUCUGCUAGUACAAGAAAGCAAAAAAUGUCAGAUUUCCACACUAUCUUAAUCUGAUCUCUGUUUGUGUUCAAACAAUAGUGUGCCAAAUUUAUUGAAAGAAUCCCUUAAUGAUCAAACUCAAAGGUCGGCACCAGUUGCUAGAAAAAGCUUCAGAAAAGGGGCAAUAGCAAGAAUAUUUUCAUAUUUAUUUGUAAGUGCAGAAAAGUCGCUAAAAUAUGUGUUCAGCAACUCUUCACGUGCCUAAUGCAAAAUGAAAUACAUGUCCCAAAUACCAACAUUUUUCUUUCUUUAUUUUCUCUUUUCUAAUUCAUUCAACUUGAACUCCCAAAAAAUGGACCAUCAUAUGCAAUUUUUCAUCAAGUACAAAUCCUGCAUAUGGAACAUGAAAAGUUUCAUAAUUUUAUCAAAUAGUGAUGGCAUAAAUUCUUCAAAUGAACCACAACAGACCAGAUAUCACCAUCAGUUCAGGCUGAAUCACUAGAUUGAGCUAACUAUUAAUCACCCUAGACCACAAAAUCAAUGAGCCAAAUGAAGGUUAUGUAGACAAAUACAACUUAUAACCGUAUGUUUACAUGAGGAAUGCUGAAUUUCACUCUUCCCUCAAUUUUCUUCUGUAAGUUACCAUGUUAUAAGACCAUGAGAAUCUUAAUUCACAUAUACCUGACAAAACGAUUAGGUUCAAAUCCAGGUAUGCCAGGCGGGCCGUAGGGAUCAAAACGAGCACCUGGAGGAACAGGCCUGCAUCACAAAUCCAAAAGAAUCAGAUCCCACACAGAUGCUAAUUUCAAAUAAGCCAAGACAUUUUCUUAAGAACUCACGGGUUCCCUCCAGGAAAACUAGGGUCUCCACCAAAAAAGCCAGGAUGAUCAGGUCCUGUGUCCACAUGAUAAAAGUCAGUAAGUCUGGAGAGGUGACAAACUUAUAUCAAACAACUUAGUAAAACAAGCCUUGUCUUACGGACCUAUUAGCAUGCUCCCAUCACCGCCAAAGCCACCCCUGAAAGGCAGUUAAAAUAGACAUAUACAUGUUACAAUUACAAAGAAUAGUAAUGACAAACAAUUAAUGAUUUCAGAUAGUGACACGCAGUUAAAAUAGACAUAUACAUGUUACAAGUAGAAUGAAAUAGCAAUGACAAACAAUCAAUAAUAUGGAUACUAACAUACCUUCUAGGAUACAUUCCAGCACCAGGGCCAGGAAAAAGAUCGCUACUACGACUUGGGUUGAUAGGAGGAACAGGAAUUCUACAAAGCAAAUUACCACACAAAGUUAGAGUCUCUGGGUUAUCAUAGCGAAAGGGGUGAUCAAAGGGAGGAAUUGCCAAUAAUUAUUCAAUUCAAGCCCAGAGAUUCCGGAAAUCUGGUAAGUUUGGCAUAUGAGCAUCCAAACUUGCUAUUUAAUCAACAGGCAAGCGCAGAACAUUAUAUUUUGUACUUCAAAAUAGCAUGGGAAAUUUACGACCAAGCACCAAAAGCCUCAUCCUUUGUUAGAACAGAAACAAAUGGUCACAGUAAACAGACCAUCACUACCCAAUUUCAAGAUAUGAAAGAUUAUUGGGUACUAAGACUCAAAGACAACAUUAUUCUGCUAGCCCAUCGUCAAUUACCAUAAAUAGUCACUCACAUUAACAACAGAGUUCAUAAUAAUUGAAGAAAUUUUUUAAUGCAUCAUAUAAUGAAUCUGUAGCAAUUGCAAUGUAUUAAUCCAAGUCCCAUGAAGAUACAGGGAAUAAAAUUAGUCAACGAUAGUAAGAUUAGCUUUUCAGCCAAGAAUGGGAUUAUCCCCGAAAGCCCCCUUCAGACUUACACCCCCACGCCCAACACCCCUUCCCCCNNNNNNNNNNNNNNNNNNNNNNNNNNNNNNNNNNNNNAAAAAAAAAAAAAAAGAAAAGAAAACACCCAAAAGAAAGAAAAAGACAAAAAGAAUAGCAAAGAUUAACCCUGUAACAUAAGAUUGAGGCCCUUCAUGCUCAAAUCCAAAAGCAGGAUCGGUUACAAUAGGCCUUGAUCCUUCACAUCUUUCCGAGCUGCAAAGCACCACAAAAUUCCGUGAAAAGCUUAUUUAAAAGAUGGCAUCCUUGUUGUGCAUCUCUAGGCAGAUCAAAAUAAAAAAAUAACAAUAAAAAUGAAAAUAAAUAAAACAUAUAACAGCUUCAAAUUUCAGCGAAAAGAAUAUAACUCUCAACACAAUACUCCACUUUGGAAAAUUAGGUGUACACUGAAUCAUUGACAAGAAAGCUACAUUUCAAUGCGAAAUAUAUAGCAAAGAAAUAAGAAGCAAUUUUUUAAUUCUCCAAAUCAUUCAGGAGUAGAAUUCAAAACUUGCUUCAUAUAUUCGUAUCAUAUUGGUAAUCGAACAAAAUCAAUACACGCUCAACUGUUCCUAUAAAAACAUAUAAAUUGAACCACAAUGUUGAUCUAGACCCUAGCUUCAGGAUCAACAACAACAACUCUUAUAAAUUUAGUCAUCCAACAUGGUUUACAUAUAUCAUUCACAAAACCAAUGAAAAACAUGAUAUCAUCAUCUUUUUUCUGAUUAUCCUGUAUGCCUAAAUUGCAAUUAGUUUUUUGUUCUCAAAUACAACUGACUCAUUAUAUCCAAACUUUAGGGAACUCACCUAGCUGUUUUUGGGGAGCCGUAUAAUUUUGAAAUAAUGUCUUUAUCAAGAUCUGUCACAAGCUUCUCUAAAUUCUUGAACUUAUCAGAGUAAUUGCCUCCAUUUUCUGCAACGUAGUCUGCAACACUGUUACAAAACACCACCACAGCAUUAACAAUAUAACAAAUAUACAAAAUUGCAAAACAAAGAGAGGAUCCAAAAUCCAAACGCGUACUUGAUUUCGAGAUGCACAGGCUCCGAAGCUCCCUCAGCUAAUGCAUCAGCCAGCAAUUUACUGUUCAUCACGAGACACUUCACCAACACUUUCUUUGAACCUUUCUCAGGGUUUAUAAACAGAAACGCGUAAUUAUCAUCAGCUAGUUCGUUCCAGUGAUCAAUUCCUACUUCAUCUACACAACCACAAAGACACAGCCGUUUAGUAAUUAAAAAAAUAAAAAAAUAAUGAGUAAAUAAAAUAAAAUAUUAUUUUGCUGAAGUAAUUCAUUUCAGUACCGGUGGAGGAGGAGGGAGAGGUGAACUCGGUGUCCGCGGCAGGGCCAGUGGCGGUUAACACGUGUCCACUGGCAAGGAAAGAGGCGUGAACGACAAAUGCAAUUUUAUCGAAGUCGUUUCUAAAGGUAGGUCUUGCCGCUCUUAUCACGGCCAUCACUGAUUUCUCGUUCGGCAUUUUUUUUUAAUCUUUUUCCUUUCUUUGUUUUUAGAGUUUAUGAGAGAGCGAGGUCUUGUUUCGAAUGUCUGCAAAUUUGAUGGUGUGUUUAGUCGAGGGUUAAGGAAUAAGAAUGAAAGAAUGAUAAUAAAAUUAAAUUAAAUUUUUAAAUGUAAUUUGGUGAUACAAAUAAAAUGUGUGGUUAAUAUAAUUUAAGAAUAAAAAAUAAGAAUUUUAUUUUUAUGGGCAUUGGGAAUAAGAGCGAAGGAAUGAGAAUAAAAUUUAUUUUUAGUUUUUUUUUUUUUUUUUUGAAUUAAAAUUAAUAAAAUUUAUUAAUAAUAAUAUUUAAAAUAACUGCUGUACGGCCANNNNNNNNNNNNNNNNNNNNNNNNNNNNNNNNNNNGCCAAGGCGGAUGUACGGUACAGCAGUUAAUUCAAAUUUUUAUUUUUAUUUUUAUUUAUUUUAUUAAAUAAACACAUUAAUAACAUUCUAAUACAUUUAUAUUCUCAUUUAUUUUACCAAAUAAAUAUUAAAAUCACAUUAUCAUUCUUUAUUUUUAUCUCAAUUUAUUCCCAGCCAUUAUCAUUUUACGUUAUUCCCAAAGUAAAGCACCACGAGUGAAAAUAGAUAGUUAACUCGCGUUUUCAGCUACUUCGUGUUUCGCUCUGGGCUGGCCCGGAAAGAGUAUCUUUUCUGAAGUUGACAAGCAUACUUAGCCUGCAAGCAAUUGAUUAUUUAAAUGCAAUUUAAUAAUAGGAAAAUGAUCCAUAUUCUACGCGUACAAACUAGAUAUUACCAAUUAGUACAAGAAGAUAUAUACGCAGAGAAAAGGACGUUGACAUCACCAUUCGAUGAAAUAGUCGAAGAAAUUUUUAUAUUUUUAAAAAUAAUUAUGCAUAUAUUUUUUUUUUACAUAUAAAAGUUUUUUGAUAAAAUUUGAGGGUGUACAUAAGUUUAUUGCGAUUAUUGUUUAAUAUUGAAAAAAAUUACGCGUCUAAAAUAUGAUUAUUUUAAAAUACAAGAAUGAGUAUGCAUAUCUUAAAAAAAAAUCGGUAUGACUAAUUCGAAAACUAAGAGGCUAUUUUAUGCCUGAUGUUGCUGAAAAGAAAUAUAAGAAUAGACAGAUUGUGCACAUAAAUUAAUCAACGUAGUUGGUUACAGCAAGGCACGUAAUAGCCACGUAUCCUUUGGACCCAUUGGGAGCAUAGUGAGAACACAUUCAUAUCAUUUGUAACAGUUGUAGUUUCCUUGUUGAGGGUAUCUGUGUCGGGAUCACAGGCUUGGAAAAUCUAGUAAAUUUUCCUAGAAAGUAUAGUACAUAUCAAACGGCUCUUUUUUUUUCAUUUCUUUUUUUCUUUUCCCACUUAUAUGACCGUUGGCUUCCUUUAACUAUCAUUGUGUCAUGUUUGAUAUGUCUGAGGCCGAGCAGCAAAGCCGGAACAAGAUGGUUUUGGUAAGUGACACAACGUCAACAACGACGACGAGUAAAUACAGCAAGAUCUUUGUUGGAGGAUUGGCUUGGGAGACUCGAACUGAAACCAUGAAGCAUUAUUUUGAGCAGUUUGGUGAUAUCCUUGAAGCCGUCGUCAUUACUGAUAGGGUUACUGGAAAAUCAAAAGGAUAUGGCUUUGUAAUUUUUAUUCCCCGUCUCAUCUCUUCUCUUUCUUUGCAGCCCUAUCCCUAGCUAGCUAGUUCAUUUUAUUAAGUUUGUUUGUUUAACCUCUUUUUUUUUUUAAAGGUAACUUUUAAGGAUCCGGAAUCGGCAAGGAGAGCUUGUGAGAAUCCUUAUCCAGUGAUUGAUGGAAGGCGAGCUAAUUGUAACCUCGCACACCUUGGUGCUCAUCACAAGAAACGCCCACCUCUUCUUCAUGGCAAUGUUACAGCAGCGGAACCAUCGACAGUUGAUUUUGGUCAACCACCGGUUCCUCAAUAUGCAUUUUCUUAUUCAACUUAUGGGUGAGUUAAUAUUACUGAGUCAAAAAUUUUAGAUAAAUGAUUGAAAAAUGCUACUAGGUCCCAACCGUGACGCAACGGUGACAUAAACAUAGGUGAAGCGUCCCUCUUUUGCCUUUAUUUCGUACUCUAUUUCAAACUUUCUUCCAGUGCAUUAUUCUUCUCAUCAAUUUACUGCCUGGCUACUAAUUUACGUUAUUGUUUAAUAUUAUAUGCAGAUAUCCUACUUUCUCCCAAAACAUUAAUCAUUCAAUGGUUAGUUAUGGUUCCUUUAAAUAACUUGAACAGCACCUCAUUACAAGUUUUGAUUAAAAUGAAAGUGGGUGUACUCUGCGCAGAAUUAUUACAAUGCUUAUUACGGUGGGCUAGGGCAAGGACAACAACAGUUUUCGUCAUAUUAUCAUCCCAACAGGUUCAGGUUCCCCGGAGCUGGAGCCUAUACAAAUUACCAUCCAUUUCCAUUGUAUUUGUAUACUCAGGCUCCGGUUCCGGCUCCGGCUCAGGCUGAGCAGCAACAGAGUAGCCCAAAUCAGCACCCCAAAAUGGUUCAUUUCCCUUAUUUUCCCCAGCAUUUCCCAUCAUCGCUCCCUGUUACUGGUAAAUUAUACAUCUUAUUACAUUUUCAUAUCUAUGAACUACUUCGAUCCCAUCUUACGUGCUACAAUUUACAAAUUUUCAAAAUAAAACUUGAAAAGUUCAACAGAAUUAAAGUAUAUUGCAAUUUGCCACAGAAAAUGUAGCAGCAGGGGCAAUGCAGCCAGGGACUAGGACUGGGACUGGGACUACCUCUCUACGAGACAACACCAAGGGUUAACGAGAGUAGUCUUUCCAUAUUCAUUAUACAAAAAAUUUUUAUGUUGAAUGACCAGAUAUAGAAACUAUCUCUUUCAAGUCAUGAAGCUUCUGCUGAUCAAAAUUCACAUUUCACAUUCUAAAGAGAGGAGAAUUGAAAACUUUUUUUUUUUUAACACAGGCUUUUCUUAACUAAACUUAAAAAAGAAUUUUUUUUUUUUUUUUAAGGAAGAGUAGUGCAAGACAUAUCAAAAUUUUGGGAUUGUUCAUUAUUUUAACCAAAUUUUAUUAUAUUCUUACAAUAAAGAUGCAAGAGUGGAGAGUCAACCACCAAGUAAGAUGCAUGCAAACCAUAACAAGAAACUAGCAGACACAGAUAAGAAUAAAGAGCGUAAAUAUCGUGAAGAAGAAAAACAUUGCAGAAUAUUUCAAAGUCUUCAGUUGUUAGAUAUUUCUAACAUAUCAGUUUCAGGGACCACCCCAACAGAAUUCAAAAUGAUGUGAAACAUAGAUUUAAUGCAUUCAUAUCCUCAAAAUCCCAUAACUACCAAACUCUAUAAGGCAUCAACUCGAGAGAUAUGUCAUAAAUAACCCCUUAGAGGUGACAGAGAUACCGGGCCGAGACACAUAAGACUAAAGAUAAACAUAGUCACCACAAGUACCUCGAAAGAUAUUUUCUGUAUCUAUGUAUAUAUGCAUGUAAAGAUAGUAUUGGCAGUUGAUCAAUCCACAGAACAUUCAAGAGCAUCACUCAAUGCAAGGGCGGGCGGGGAGCCCGUGGACGAACUGGAGUCUUGGAGGGGCUAACCCUGCAUAUAGAAAACAUUGAGAAAUUUCAGAAUAGAAACUGAAUGGAAAUUUAUAUCAUUUAUAACUGAACAGUCCGCCAAAACAACCUUAUAGGCAGUGAUCCCAAGACAGCACCACUACAGUUAAGAGCCGCAAUCGCACUCUCAGCCUGCGAGAGCAAAAUUACAGCAUUAAACUUAGUAGCAUAAAUAAAAAACUAAGAGAUCUUUUCAUGAUAUAAAUUUCCAUAUAACAAAAAGAAUAAGAUCUCCAUAUAACAAAAAAACCUCAAUAAAAUAAUAAACAAAAAGAAUUCUAGCCGAUUACCAUCCCUCAAGUUUAGGUCAUUUUUCUAUUGCCAAACUUUAUAAGGCCUACAAAGGCAGGAACCUAUUCCACAAAGGCAUGCAUCACGUAUCCAAUCACUGAGGGAAAGCGGGAAAACGAGGAAUGUUCUUCUCUUAAGUGGUCCAAGAACUCUUAAGAACCAUACUAACAAUAUGUAUACGCCAUAAUACAAAAUGAUGAGGGAAAACAAAGAAGGAAUUGCUAGGAAGAUAAAGAUCAAACAAGAAGAAUAAAACGAAAGGGGAAAGGAGAAGGGAGAGUAGAGAAUUUCCCAACAAAACAUAUCAAACAACAAUUAAUUAGGCAUUCUUAAUUGGCACAUCCAAAUUCCAAACACAUGUAGUGCAGUAACAGCAAUGUUGUAGCACUCUUCCAGAGAGCCACCACAACAAUAUCUAAAAUUCGCUCUUCAGGCCAGUGGUGCUGAUACCCCUUUUCUUUAUUAGGAUAGGAACGCACUCAAAAUUUCCAUAUUUGCAACCUUUCAUGCAUGUCUCAUUACAAAACUAGUGACAGACCCAACUUUCGCUACAGAUUACCAGAGCAUGAAUUAAUAAAGACAGAAUACAAAAUGCACAACUGCCAGGAACAGACAUUAGAAUACAAAUUAUGUAUCUUAUACAUGCUGGGACUGAAGUUAUGGGUCUAAACUUUUAAAAUCUACAAACUAAAAGGGUCAACAAGCAAACAAAUACAUCUUUCUCAAAGAAGAAGAAGAAAAGCAAACAAGUACAUUCACAACCAUUAUCAUCUCUAGAUGGUCCUACAGGGAAACACUAUAUAAUCAACAAUUAUAUACAAGACAGACCCCCAAAAAUAAAAAUAAAAAGAAGAAGAAAAAGAAAUAGAAUAAGCGCAUAAGCAAAAGAGAGAGAAACCAUACAAGGUGAGUCAUUGAAAUUUUAUAUUCAUAAUACUGUAAAGAAUGGUGAGUUAUGCUAUAGCUCAGUUGUGAAAGGAUAGAAAGACAGUACAAAGAAUCGAAGAUGACAAGAAUAGGAGGCAUAUACAUAAAUGGCCUGCCUAAGCAUAGGUAGGGAACACCAAUCACACAGUAUACUGCCAACCACAAUACCAAAUUGAACCUAAACCUUGCAAAAGAAUCUGAUUAUAAGGAGUUAGAUAUCUGAAGAGCUGUGAACCCCAAAUAGCAAAUGUACAACGUACCACAUCCUAACACUAACCCAUAUCCUCAGUUGAAAGCAGAUCCAACAAAAUAGCUAGCCAACAAUAAACACCAAACUACUUGGUCUCCAACCACUGAGAUGUCUUGAGUUUUCCAUGCCCAAGAAUUUGUUAUAAGACACUUGCAACACCUGAAAAGCUGUGCUUCCUCUUCAACCUUUUCAGAAGAUGAAGGUUGUUGAACUAUCGUUGGGACAGUAGUGCCAAACAUGAAAAUCAGGAUAAUGAGUGAGAUUCCCAGCUAUGAUUGCUCUAACCUUGGAAGCUCUAUGCCUUAUAGCCUUAGGGUUCCUAUAUUCAAUUUCUUCCCAGCCCUUGCCUAGCUCUGAAUUGGCAUCUGCAACUGAUAACCACAGCCUAUCCCCAGUAAACUUCAGCUUAUGUAGAUUUGCACAUAAAAGGCAUAAUGGACACCAUUUCAAAAGAAUAAAAAUGAGAGCCCAAUGGUCCUCAUUCCAAAAGAGUCCUCACCUCAACAAUUGAAAGCACGUCAUUUCUAUUUUCAGCAUACCCAAGCCUUGAAACAAUGUUUGAGAAGAUUUUAUGCCUUUGCAUGGUUUAAAUAAGAUUUGACUUCAUUUAGAGAAAGAAACCAUCCUCCCUCACACAUCCCAGCCCACCCCUCCUUUCUAACUCUCUCAACUCAGGUAAUCACUCAAGAAUUUGCCAUUUUAGCAGUGGAAAAAUUUUCUCCUACAAUUCCCAUUUCCCAAAUCUCUUAGAUAAAUGGCCAGUGACACAUGUUGCUAACUAUGAUAAGAAAUGAUUAGGAACACAUAUGGACAUGAGAGCAUGCUUGGAGUCCUAUAUAAAGGAGAAAAGAAUUGCUGAUAUGAACAAAAACUUCCAGUUCCCAUGCCUUCUAGUGUUACCAGCACCACACAAAUAUAGAACUAGCUUUCUUAUUUCUACACAAACAUAAUUACUAAAUUUAUCACAAAAUGGCAUAUUUAAAUGACAAAACUCUCCUUUUCAAAAAGACAAAACUCUAUUUUCCAUAAUUCAUGCAAAGAUCGUCUCAUUAUGACAAAUAGUCCGAUGUUCAGCUGCCAUUAUUAGGUGUUGCUUAAAAAUACAAAUUCUAAAUGAUCCAAUUCAUAAACAGUAAAAAUAAACCAACAACAAAAUUAAAGAAAGAAACAGGACUUAGAAAGAUAAAUUUACAAAACCGAGAUGGAAGCUAUCUUUUCUCCAAUGCCUUAUAAUCUUGUCACUAAUUGCACUUUCAUGAAUUUUUCCAAAACUUUUAAAAGUAAUGUAGAAUGAGAAAACUCUACUAAAACAAGAUCUAACAUUCUCAUUGUUGACAGUAAGAAGUCCAUCUCAGUACAAGAAAUUAAAGAAUUCUCAAAGUAGUUUAGUGAGCUAAGGGGUUAAACAAAGAUAAAAAAUACCACUAAUUGUGCAUCAAGAGAACAAAAUAUAUACAUCCAGUGCAAAGGAUUCUAACCCAAAAAAGAGGCUUUUCAGUCAAAUUUGAACUACAUUCUAUGUAAACUCUAAAUAUAAUUGCUUCUGCAAUUAAUAGCAAGGACCAAGUGUUUUUGUUCAUAUAACAGGUUAUAAAAAACAAGCAUGCCAUGAAAACGGCUCGCUUACCAUCGCAAACUCAACAAAAGCAAUACGAGUUGAAUGCUGAUAGUCUCCAAGCAGCCUCAAACGUUGAACCUGCACAAAUAAAAUGUGUCCAUAAGAAACCAUGAAUAAUUGAAGGACAAAAUCACUUCAUUAGGUUGGUCAUUUAAGCAACUACAAACCUCCCCACAAACUGAUUCAAAGAAGAGUUUGAUAUCUCCUUGAGUAACCUACAUCAAUUGGACAAACAAGUCAAAAACAAAUGUAACCGGUAUUGCUCCAAAUCACAUACUACAAUAAAUGGCAAAAUAGAAAGUACCUUUUUGUCAAUAUUUGUACAAUAAAUAGUUCUUGAGCACAUCUCACGUUCAUCUUCAGACUGAUAACAUUAGAAAGCCAAUCAAUGCACCAAAAUUAAGAUCCAUGCAGCUUGAAUGUAGGGUUUUUCAAAGAAAAUGAAAUUAAACAAAACUUUAAACAUGAUACAGAACCAGAUGAUAAGCACAGAGAGAGACAAAAAAAGAAAAGACGGAGCGAGUGAGGGCAGAGAAAGAAACAGAGGGAUAAAGGAAAGGAAGAAAGGAAAAAAGAGAGAACAACAACAUGGUUUUUGGUUAACAAAAACAUACCUCCAGACGCCAAAUCUUCUUCAUGAGGUAAAUGCGAAAUUUCUACUAAAAAUAUUCAAAACAAACUUACAAAAGUUUGCAUAACACACCUAACAUGACUAAAUUUUCGAAAAAAACAAAACGGCAAAGUCAUUUGAUAUAAAAAUUUCACAUCUAACUGUCAUCUUGAAAAUUUUGAAAAUGAAGGGGCUUAAUUGCAUAAAAAUUUUGAGGAUAGUUGUUAACUAUAGUGAGGCAGGUGGUUAUAACAGAUGUCUCACCCUUGGUAAAAAGGUUGGAUUAACAGGAGCAAUUGCAGUUUUUGAAGGCAGCACUCUAACGGGAUAGAACCCAAGCAUAGUCCCAGCCAAACUCAGAGCAGCCCUUGCACCUUCUGCAAGCACAUUUUCUUUGAAAUUCAGAACAAGAACAAAUGUCUAUUAAUGAAUAUACUAUGCAUAAGCUUUUAACAAUACCUUCAUCAGUGAACUCAACGAAGGCAAAACGGAGGACGGAGUUAGGAUCACCACAGAUGCGGCAAUCAACAACCUUAGGACAGGUAAUAAUUUCAGAGCAUAAGCCACUACUAUCAAACUAUAAAGGGAAUAUGAGAGCAAAAUAAAACACAGAAUACCUGUCCACAAGUGAGAAAGAGCGUUGCAAGCUGCUCUUCAGUAACCUGACAUACAGAAAAAAUAGGGAAACAAUAGUAAACAUCAGUGCACAAUAAAAACAAACCAAAGCAUAAAAGCAAUAACUUUGCAGAAAGUUCCAGCUCUUUACCUGCUGAUCAAUGUCAGAUACAUACACAGUCCUCCUGAUUACCUCGUCUUGCUGUGCAUUACUUGUUCUACAAUUCAUCCUUCGUUUCCCUUGACUAUAACCAUUCCUCUUCUGAAAAGCAUUAUUAAAAAGACAAAGUACCGUAAUCAAAGAAAGAAAAUACCAAACUAAGAGCCAUACAAGAGGCUUAAAACAACUCAAGAUCAAAAGUAAAGGGCACACAUACCCUUCUAGUAGUAGUAUGUCCAUUGGUAUUUGCAGUGCCAUCAGUGUGCAUUAUAAAAUUAUUAGUGUACCCAAAUCCAUUAGGGCCGAAAAAGGCAGGAUUAAAAUUAAAAAUUUGACCAUUUGCAAGAGAAGGAGGCACAAAUUCAGCAGCCAUGGGAUUCAACUUGGACAGCAUAUCCACCAAAUCCCUCAUCUCGCAAUCCUUGAAACUUUCACCCAUUUUCCUUUCCAUAUGAUUAUCACUUGCAUUCACAUUCACAAACCCACCUCCAGCUCCAGCUCCAGGUUUUGUCUGCCCAUUUUGUAUCUGUAUAUUGGCAUUGCCAUUCCCACUUCUCUCCUUUGAGUGAUCGUUGGAAUUUUGUACAUCAUUUGAGUCAGAUGACACCACAGUGUCAUCCAAAUUUUGAUUCGAUGAAUCGAUCUUAGCACCAGCAUUCUCAGCGACCGCCAUGAUGAUCAGUUUCUGAGUUUUUUUUCCCCCCCCAAAAUGGGUCUCUUUUUUUUUCUGAGAUAUCUCUGUGAAAAUCUGCUCUUUUAUUAGUCAAUGAUCUAAGAUAAAUGCUUUAAAUUUAAAUAUUAAAAAAAACAAAUUUUGAGAAAAACCCAGAAUCUUGUUGAACAGCAGUGGGAGAAAGAGAGAGAGACAGAGCUCUUACCUUAUUCUCUCUUAUCUAAAAACUUUCCAUAAAUGUGAUGAUGUAAAUAUUAAGAAGCAAAGCAAAAACCAAACCAAACCAACCACCAAAACCCACCCAAAAUGAAAAGAAAAGAUAAAACUGAUGAUCACUUCCCAAAAUGAAAUUGGGUGAAACAGAAUACAAACUUUUUUGCUCUUUUAGUUUUUUUUGUAAAUUGAUAAAAAGAGGGUUUAAGAGCGACAGAUAAAGGGGUGUUUGUUUGUUUUUUAAUGCGUUGCAAAAUGCUAUCUGUGUCCCUUUUAUGUUGAUUUUCUUUGGAUCGUCCGUUAGCGGGUGUGUGCCAUCAUCAGGCAUUUGAUUCUCUCUCAUACAUCUACAUGCAUACAUGCAUACAUGCAUACAUACAUACAUUCGUAUGUCAUACAUACAUGCCCGGCAUAUCAAUUACGAGAAUAAUGUAAAUCCAAGAUUUAUCCAUAUCUUAUCUUUCCUUUUUCUAUCUAACCAAAAUUUUUUGUAUCUUUAUACGUGCUACCGAACAAAGAAUUAAAGAUAUCCAAUUAUUGAACAUAAUAAUUCAACAAACAUUAAAUUUAAAACUAAUCGCCAUGGCCGUUCAUAAACAAGCUCCAAGGAAUUCUUUUUUUUUUUUCGCACUAUACUGAAUCAUGUAUUUUGUUACCUUCAACUUUAUAACAAUAAUCGUAUUAACAUAUUAAGAUAUUUGAAUGUUUUUAUACCAUGCGGUUGCUUUAGUUCCAUAUUGAUGAAUUUUAUUAAAUUUGAUCAAUUCCAAUGAAAUAUUUUUUAAUUUAAACCUUUUUAUUUGGUACAAUUGAAGCUUACAUUGAAAAUCAUAUCAAAACCAAAUCUUAGUUAAUAAUAAUUAGUUUGUAAAAUUUUAUUGUUAGUAAGAAUGUUUCCUCAUAAGAUCAAUUUGUCUAAUUCUAAAAAUGAUACAAGAGCUAUGUGUUGAAACUCUGUUACGAAUUUAGCAAGUAAGCGAGGAUUUGAAGAUAGUUAAUUCACGAAAAAACAGUCAAUUCAUGAGAGAAGUAAUCCGAAAUUAAUUUUUCUAAAUUAACAAACUGAAGCCAUUAAAAUAAACAGUUGCACAUAUACUUAAAUGUGGAUUUAUUCUAGGGUGAUAAGGGAGUUAAUAUUAUUUCAUUAAAAAAUAAAACAAUCAGUGUUUAAACAUAAAUGUAUACUACAUCUCGAGAUUUAUACGAUAACUAGGAAAUAGAACCGCACUUCGUGCGGCUUUAAAAAAAAUUAGUAUUAUUUUUUUAUUACUUUGUAAUUGAUGAAAUUAAUAAAAAAUAUGAAUUAUUUUUUUUAAAGAUAACGCAGUCUUAUAAAACUAAUGUUAUUUAUGAAAGUUAAUUAUUUUUUGUUAACAUUAAAAAUAUAUAUUAAUGUGUAUAGUUAAGUGUACACAACCUUUUCAUCAAUAAAAAUUACGUUCAUACUAAUCAACUCCCUAUUUUUCUUGGUAUUAACAGACUCUCACAUCUUACAAAGCCUAACAUUUAUCAUCCAACUAUCUUUAUCAUUGUUUAACUCAUAAAGAAAAUAAUACUCCAUGAAGCACACAAUACUAAAAAUUUAAAUAAGUCAAAAAAUAAAAAACACAAGAACAUUUCUAAAGAGGAUGUUGGUUAAAUAAUAAAAAAAAAACUCAAACAUAACAAAUCUUAAAUGCUUAAUAUUUAUAGAGCUUGAAGAAGGCAAAAGAUACUAAAUAAAAGGUUGCAUAAUUAAAUAUGGGAUUAUGACAUUAAAAUUAGGUCAUAGGGUAUUGGUGAGGGAAGAUGAAGGAACAUUCCUUCCUAUAUUAAUUAGUUGAUGUAUUUUAAACCACUAAAGUUUAGUUGUUGGCUUAAUAAAAUAAAUGAAUGUUUCAAAACUUAUAAUUAAUUUAUUAUUAAUGGUUACAUAUUGUUGAAUUUAAAUAGAAAGAGGAAGAGACAUGUAAUCUUUUGUAAUCUAUUAAUUAUUUUAUAUUUUUAAUAUUUUGUAAUGUAAUUAUUUUUUAAUCUCAACCAAUAUAUUAGAUAAUAGAAAAUAUAAAAAGAUGAGAAAUAAUAAUGCCACAAAUAUUAACUACUUAAUGUUUAUAGAGUUUGAAGAAGUCAAAAGGUACUAAACAAAAGGUUGCAUAAUUAAAUAUGAGAUUAUAACAUUAAAAUUAAACCCUAAUGGCAUUGUUGAGGGAAGAUGAAGGAACAUUCCUUCCUAUAUUAAUUAGUUAAUGUAUUUUAAACCACUAAAGUUUAGUUGUUGGCUUAAUAAAAUAAAUGAAUGUUUCAAAACUUAUAAUUAAUUUAUUAUUAAUGGUUAUAUAUUGUUGAAUUUAAAUAGAAAGAGGAAGAGACAUGUAAUCUUUUGUAAUCUAUUAAUUAUUUUAUAUUUUUAAUAUUUUGUAAUGUAAUUAUUUUUUAAACUCAACCAAUAUAUUAGAUAUUUUCCUAUGUUAAUUAAUUCAUAUAUUUUAAGCCACUAAAGUUUAAUUGCUAGCAUAAUAAAAUAAAUAAAUGUUUCAAAAGACUUAUAAUUAAUUAUUAUUAAUGAUUACAUAUUGUUGAAUUUAAAUAGAAAGAGAAAAAAAAAGUACAAAGAAUAUCCACCAAUAUUUUAGAUAUUUUAUAUAAUAAAAAAUGUAAAAAGAUGAGGAAUGAUAUAUAUUAAUAAAGUUACUAUUUAUUAAAUGAGUUAAAUACAAUCAAAUUAAUUAUGAGAAGAUGAAAAGACAAAUCUAAAAAAAAAAUCUCUAUUUAUUAGAUAAUAGAGAAUAUACAAAGAAGCAAAAUGGUGAUGCCACAUCACCUCCUCAAGUCCUAACUUUAUAUAUAUAUAUAGAUAGAUGGUUUUUCAAACAAGUAAUUUUUUUUUUUUUCAAAAACACUAAAACAAACAAAGAUGUGGAGAAAGUUAAAAGGAAAUAAAAUAUUAUAAAUAUUAGAUGUACAAUGUUACUUUUGCACAGCGUUACUUUUGUUAUUUAUGGGGUGGAUUUAAAAAAUAUAUUCAUUUUAAUCUUUUUUAUGGGUGGAUUUUGUUAAUCAUACGGUGGUGGCUUUACCCAAAAAAAAAUAAAAAUGAGGGGGAAUAUAACCAUCAUUUGGUUAACAUAUGUCUAAGGCUUUGUUUGUUUAAGUUUUUUGGCAACUCACCUGGCAAACUUGCAAAUAUAAUUUGACAACACAACUAAAUAUUUUUCCCAGUUAUCUACAAAGGGUCGGUUUGGUAAUGUUUUAGGUUUUAAAAUAAUUGAUGUUAUCUAUACUAUAAAAAUAAUCAGCUGUAAAAAAAAAUUAGAUAAACAUUUGGUAAAAUUUAUUUUUAAAAGCAUUAUAAAUUUUAAAAAUAAUUGUAUGUGUUUAAUAAAUCUUACUAUAGAGUUGUUGUAAAAAUAUAAAUGAUGGUAUUGGACAUAACGUUCAAUAAAAUUUAUUUACAUAUUUAUAAACAUAUCAUUUUUUAGUCUUGUCUUGGAGACAAGUUUGUCUGUCUUGUCUGUAAUGACAAGUUUUCUUUCGUGAAGUUCCUUGAUUAAAGCUUUCUAGUCAGAAUUUUUGUGACUUUUCAGGUUAGUCAAGUGCAAUGUCAGGAAGAGAGCAGGAGUUUGAAAUCAACAUUGGUUACGCACAUAUCAAUUUGGAGGAAGAGGAGGAAGGAGGUCUGAUUGUAGAAGGAAAUGAUGUUAAUGAGAGUGGUCUAGGGACUAUUGAUUCUCGGUUUUGUUUGGUGGGCAGAUUCCUUACAGAUAAAGUAAUUAACUUCCCUGCCAUGAAGAAUACUAUGGCUUCCUUAUGGCGUCCAGGGAAGGGAGAGUGUAUCAAGGAUUUAUCUUCCAUGUUUUUCCUAUUCCAAUUCUUUCAUGAAGUUGACUUGAAAAGGGUUCUUGAAUCGGGACCAUAGAAGUUUGACCAACAUAUUUUAAUCCUUAAAAGGCUGAAGGAAAAUGAACAACCCCAGAAUGUCCUGUUGUGCUUUACUUCAUUUUGGAUCUAGGUUUACAACCUACCAAUCGGUUUUAUGUCUGAAAAAAUUCUGAAAGAUAUUGGCAACUAUAUAGGCACUUUUUUGGAGUCCGAUGCAUAUAAUCUAAUGGGGGUUUGGAGAAACUACAUGCGCAUACGAGUGUCUAUAGAUGUUAGGAAACCUUUUAAACGAAGGAUGAAAAUGAAAAAAGUGGGCGGAGACUGGAUUUGGGUUGAUUUUAAAUAUGAACGUCUAAAUAUUUUUUGCUUUAUUUGUAGAUUACUUGGCCAUACUGAAAAGCAGUGUCCCAAAUUGUAUGAUUGCCCUCCUGGUGAAAUUGUAAAAUGCUAUGGUCACUGGGCUGAAAGCACUAAAUAAAAAGAAUGCAAUGAAUUCCGGUGAACGGUGGUUGCGGUCAGUACCGCUGGGGGAAGAUGACAAGGAAAAAGGAAGGAGCGUGGAUGUCAUAGUUACCAUGGUAAUUGAUCCGGUUUUGGCCACGAAUCAAGGAGAUGUUAUACGUAAGACUAUUGAUGGGAACGAGGAUGUGGGGAUUAUGGUAGCUAGUAAGGAAGGUGAUAUUUUGUUGCCAACUAGGACUCCACCAAGUGUGAAAGGAAAGCAAGUUAAGGGGACAACUAAUGUGAUUGAUUUCAACGAAGAUUCUGGGGAUGAAAUGGAUGAGGGGCUAAUUGUUAAUGAUGCUAAAAGGAGAAGGUAGCUAGUUAGGUCAUGCAGCAAAGUGGGAUUUGAAGGAGAGGUUACUUCCUAAUCGAUGCUUUUGGAAUCAAUUUUCAAAGACGGACCAGCGAUGGGCCCUGUCGUUCAGGCCCACCGAGACCAAUGAGUGUUUUAAGCUGGAACUGCCGUGGGCUUAGCCAACCACGGACAAUCAAAUGUUGGAGGAGUUGGCCAAACGUAAGAAACCAAUUUUUAUUUUUCUUAUUGAAACAUUGUGUAAUCGAAGGAAGUUGGAAGGUUUAAAAACAAAACUGGGCUAUGAAGGUUUAUUCACAGUUGACCUAGUGGGCCGGAGUAGAGGUCUUGCUCUCUUUUGGAAAGCAAACAGCAACAUUAGAUUAUUAAAAUUUUCUAAGAACUGUAUUGAUGUGGAGGUUGAGUAUCAGGACAUGGGCAAGUGGAAGAUAACGGGCUUCUAUGGGUUCCCGGAGUCUAGCCACCGUCAAGAGUCUUGGGAUCUUCUACGCACUUUAGCUACUGUGUCUUCCCUUCCCUGGGUAUGCAUCAGGGACUUUAAUGAUCUUUUAGCUGCUCAUGAGAAGCGAGGGAAGAAUGAGCACCCAAAUUGGAAGUUGCAGGGGUUUAAACAAGCUGUGGUUGAUAGUGGCCUCAGUGAUAUUGGCAUGGAGGGUUAUCAAUUUACUUGGGAACGGUCUAGGGGUACAGAGAAUUGGGUGGAGGAAAGAUUGGACAGAGUUCUUGCUAUUGAUCCUUGGAUUCGUCGAUUCAAAGAAGCACGGGUUUGGAGUCUUCAAUCUUCUACCUCAGAUCAUCUACCCAUUUUUAUGGACCCAAAUCCCUUAAAUCAUUCUCAUAGGCAUUGAAGAUUUUGAUUUGAAAACAUAUGGCUUAGAAAAGGCUGAUUGUACAGAUGUGAUUCAGGCUAGUUGGUCCUCCUCUCAUGGGAUUGCAAUUCAACAAAAGCUUCUAAAUUGUGGGAUUGCGUUGCUUAAUUGGGGAGGUCACUUAGCUGGUGACUUUCGCAAUCGUAUUUUUGACUAUAAAAGGAAAAUGUCUCUUUUGCGGGGGCAUCGUGAUUCAGCUGGUAUUGUGGAGUUUACUGAGGGUAGGAAGGGGUUUAAUGAGCUUCUCCAUAGUCAGGAGGUUUUCUGGAAGCAGAGAUCAAGGUUACUUUGGCUCAAAGAAGGGGAUAUGAAUUCUCACUUCUUCCGUACUAUGCCUUCAACAAAAAAAUGUAGGAAUUCUAUUUCAACUCUUCGAAAUGCUCAAGGUCAGUCGUGUACCACCUCGGCUGAAAUUGAUGCUCUGAUUUAUGAUUAUUUCUCUAAGCUAUUUACUGUUGAUGGUUGCCAAAAUGAUGAAGUUUUAAACUGUGUAAAGACAAAGAUUACUGAUGAGCAAAAUGAGUUGCUGUUAGAGCCUUUUUCAACAGGCGAUGUCAAAGCGGCCCUCUUCGAAAUGCAUCCAGACAAAUCAUCAGGACCUGAUGGUAUGAAUCCUGCCUUUUACCAACGAUUUUAGCUUACUGUUGGUGAGGAUGUGACUGCAGCUUGUUUGCAUUUUAUUAAUACUUGCUCAUUUCCGAUGGGUUUAAAUGACACCUCUAUUGUAUUAAUCCCCAAGAAACCAAAACCGGAGAUGCUGUCAGAUAUGAGGCCUAUUGCUUUAUGUAAUGUUCUGUAUAAGAUUGUAGCUAAAAUGCUCGCAAAUAGAAUGAAGUCAGUCAUGGGUUCUGUGGUUUCUGAAUUUCAAAGUGCGUUUGUGCCGGGUCGGGCCAUCACAGAUAAUAUCCUUAUCUCCUCUGAAAUUAUGCAUUUUUUUGAAGAGAAAGCGACAAGGAAAAUUUGGAGUUGCUACUCUUAAAAUUGAUAUGUCGAAGGCCUAUGACCGAAUUGAAUGGGAAUUUUUGGAAGCUAUGAUGCUUAGGCUGGGGUUUAAUGCUAAAUGGGUGAAGUUGAUUAUGCUAUGUGUCUCUAUAGUUCGUUAUCAUGUUUCUCGCGAUGGGAAGGAGAUUGGACUUAUCAUUCCAGGUAGAGGGCUUCGCCAAGAGGAUCCUUUAUCGCCGUAUUUAUUCAUUCUUUGUGCGGAAGGUCUCAAUACGUUAAUCCGUAAACAUGAGUUGGCUGGCUUGAUUCAUGGGGUAAAAGUUGCUCAAGGGGCUCCUGUUGUAUCUCAUCUAUUUUUUGCAGAUGAUUGUUUUAUGUUUUUCAAAGCCAACCAAAGUGAAGCUCGCUUAAUUAAGCACAUUCUUACGACUUAUGGUCAAGGGUCAGGACAAUUGGUGAACUUUAACAAAUCUUUCAUUUCUUUCAGUUUGAAUGUUAACGAAGAUGUGAAGGGGCUUAUAUGUGAUACUUUGGAGGUUACUGCUACUACUAACCAUGGCACUUAUCUUGGAUUACCCUCUCUUGUUGGUAGGAACAAAAAAGAAGUUUUUCGAUCUAUCUAUGACAGAGUAUGGCAAAAGCUUCACAGCUGGAGUAUGAGGAUGCUGUCAAGAGCUGGGAAAGAAAUCCUGUUAAAAACAAUGGCUCAAGCUAUCCCGAAUUAUGCCAUGCAAGUUUACCUUCUGCCUCUUGAUCUUUCUAGAGAGCUCGAAACUACGAUGAACUCAGUUUGAUGGAGAAACAGCUGCAAUGGUGGAGGUGGCAUUCGCUAGAUGAAGUGGAAGUUUUUUUGCGAACCAAAGACACAUGGAGGAAUUGGCUUAAAAAAUCUACAUGACUUCAAUGUGGCCAUGUUGGGGAAGCAAGUUUGGAAACUUUUAUCGAAUCUGAAGUCUCUUGUUGGCCAAAUUUUCAAAGCUCGUUACUUCCCUCAUACAUCUAUUACAGAGGUUGAUUUGGGUUAUAAUCCAAGCUUUGUGUGGAGGUCUCUAAUGGCAGCUAAGCAUAUUGUUGUUCGUGGUAGCAGGAUUCAGAUUGGUAGUGGUCAGAAUUGUAUUAUUGGGUCAGCUCCUUGGCUUCCAGACGCAGAUAACGGCUUUCUUUCCACCAGCUUACCUGAGUAGAAAACAACAGUACCAGUUAGUAGUUUAAUGGCUCCUGAACAACGUCAAUGGGAUUAUGAUGUAGUGGCAGAUUUAUUUAACGCUCGAGACAGGAAUCUUAUUUUACAAAUUCCCCUUAGUGCUCGGAGGGAUAAGGAUGUGUGGUAUUGGUUGGCAGAUCCUCAUGGUUUAUAUACAGUCCGCAGCUAUUAUAAAUUACUUAAUCAUUGUGCUACUACCCCAACAUCUGGUGUGUGGAGGAAAAUAUGGAACUUGGAGGUGCCUAAUAAGGUGAAGAAUUUUCUUUGGAGGGCUACUAUGAAUGUGCUACCAACAAACGAUAAUCUUAUUUGGAGAAGCGUUGAGGUAAUGCCUAUUUGCUCCCUCUGCAAUCAGCAGAAUGAAUCUGUUGUGCAUGCUUUGGUGAAUUGUGUCUUUGCUCAAAUAUGCUGGAUUUCUUCUUCACUUGGCUUUGCUGGUCAUCACUCUUCAUUUUUUAGUUGGCUAGAUCAAGUCUUUGCCCGCUGUAGUAAGGAGAUGUGCAAUCUUGUUGCUAUGAUAUGUUGGAAAAUCUGGUUUCGCAAGAAUGGAAAAGUUUGGAAUAACAAAGUUUGCAGUGUGCACUAUAUCCUUAACUCUGCUGGGACUUAUAUGUUUCAAUGGCAAACAGCAAGGAAACAAUCUGUUUUCAUUGAUGUUGAUUCUUUCCAUGGUUGUCAUGGGGCUGUUUGCUAGGAGAAACCACAUCCUGGUUGGCUCAAGUGUAAUGUUGAUGCUGCAACAUUCUCAGCUCAGGGGAAAGUCAACUAUGGAGGAGUUAUCCGCCAUUCUGAGGGGGUUUUUGUGGAUGCUUGUUGUGCCUGCGUGAGUGGAAGCUUUGGUGCAAGAGAUGCUGAAGCGUUUGGUGUGCGGGAGAUUCUAAGCUGGAUUAAGCAACGACAUUUGUCUUGCGUUGUUGUUGAGAUGGAUUGUUUUCAAGUCUUUAAAGCUCUCACAGAGAACUAUUCUUGUCCUAAUGGUUAUGACCUAAUUCUUGAUGAUUGUAGAGCUUUAGCUCGUUCUUUAGGAGAUAUUAAAUUCUCUUUUGUCCGAAGGUCUGCGAAUACUGCUGCCCAUGUUGUUGCACGGGUGGGGGGUUCUUUGUCAGGCCCUGGAGAGUGGAGUAAUGUUCCAUCUUCCUGGUUAAUUGUUUAUCUGUCUUCUGUUUCCAGUUAAUACAUCUAUCAAGUUUUAUUAAAAAAAAAAACAUAUUUCCGCCUUGGCCGUACAGCAGGAUAAUUAAAAUAAAUAUUUUAUAUUAUUAUUCUUAUUUUUAUCUCAAUAUAAUUGGUAAUAAUAAUAAUCUCUUUAAAGUUAAUGAUUUAAUUUCCUAAUUAAUAAUGACAAAUUUGAAUUUUUAUAAUAUAAAUGAAGAUAUUUAUGGAAUUGCCUGAAGUAUAAAAUUGAUUCUCAAAAUAAGAUUUUGAAAAGUCACUCCUCACCUUUUUAAAAAUUUACUAUAGAAUAAAGUGAUUUUACCAAAUUUCUAAAACAAUUUGUGAAACACUAAAAUUAGUUUUUAACUUUUCAAAAUUACUUAUAAACCUUCCAAAAAUAAUUUGUUAAAUGGGCCCUAAGAAAUAAGAUCCAAGAGUGAUAACAAAUAACUAAACCCCCAUUAACUUACACUUGACAUAUAUAACUUUCAUAAUAAUAGUAGUUGAAGACCAUAAUACCAUAAUAUCAAAUGAAACUUAAAUCUAAACAAGUUAUAAUACCGUAAUAUCAAAUGGAACUUAAUUUAAACAAUUUAACUCAUAUAGCAAUGAUGUAACUGUAGUAUGAAAUUUAAUCUAACUAAAAAAUAUAAAAAUUUUAAAUUUACUCUUUUGUGUAGAUAAUUCAUAUAAAUCAUUUUAAAAAAUGAAGAACAUCAAAGGCAAAGCGAGAUUUAAGAAGAUAGUAGGUAUUGAACCUUGAAUGUGACCAUGAGAGAUAGUGAGAAAAUUAUUGGCCUUAACCAAUUAAAUUAAAUUGGUUUAAAAAGGAAGGGAAAAAAAGAAGAAGCAUAGCCAAUCUAAUUGGGUUUAGGAUACUAAAAUUGAAAUUGAAUCAAUUUUGAUUCGACCCACUUGGUUGACGACUAAACUAGAUUUGAUUUGAGGGUCCGGCUAUAUUGCAACUGUGGUACCGUGCCACAGUUGCAACCAGCCAUUGUAUCCACUUGGAUGAGGGGUGCAACAGUGGAUCCAAGUGGAUCCAAUGACUGGUUGCAACUGUGGCAGGGUACCACAGUUGUAACAUAACCAAGUCCUUGAUUUGAACACCCGUACAUGUCCAACAAUGAAUUUGAACUUAUAAAAGAUUUAAUGUGUCCUUUAAUUUAAAAUUGAUUUGCUUUAGUUUUAUUGAUUUAAAAAAGGGGGAAAAUUCCAACAAUCAACCUUUUAAAAAUUUACAAUAUUAAAGUUCCUAAAAAGGUGCAUUUGUGUGACAACGGAUUAAUCGGUAUGAAAAUUAGUUUCAUAAACUAUGAUCAAAAUUAUUAGACUCGUUAUCAUUAUUUUUGGUCAAAUUCAAGGUUAAUUUUGAUAAUUAUUUAAAACUUAAAUAAAAAAUCACGUAACCAUGAUUGAAGUUGGGAAAUUCUAUUGAUUUUACAAAAUAUAUAUAUCUCAAUUAAACCAAAAUUUUUUCAUUAUUUCAAUUAAAAUUCAGUCAAAUUUUACGUUCUCACAAUUAUAUAAAUUUAAGAAAAGUUGAAAUUUCUUUCCCAACCUCUUAGUUUGUCGUUCAAUUUAAAAUAGAAAUAUAAUCACAUUAAAUUGAUUUAACAAUAAGUUACUUAAUAAAUAUUUAUUUAGUCCCUAUAUUUUGAUUUAAUCACCUGUUUAGUAUCUAUAUUUAAAAAGUACCUCAAAAUACCUUUUUAGUUAAAUAUGUUACAUUCUUACCAUUGUUUUUCUUUACUUUUACAAUAAUACUACUAGAAUAAUAUUCUUGACACUAAUUAAUUUAUUUAUAAAAAUUUAAUUAAUGAAUUAACCAUUAUUAAUAUGGAAGAACUAGUAUUUUUUGAACCCAUGCAAUAGUCUUGUUAAUAAUUUAUGUAUAAAUAAAUUAACAUCAGCCAAAUUAAAGUAAUAUUUAAUAUCCUUACAAUAAUUUUACUAUUAGGUAUUUAUAAAAUAUUAAUUUACCAAAUUACACCUAAAAGUAAAAUAAUAACAUAAAAUUUAUGAAAUAUUUUAUUUUAUUUUUAAGGCUAAUUUGAUAAAUUAGUAUUUUUUUAAUAAUAUCCCCAAGAAAGUAUGAAUAUUAUUGUAGGGGUAUUAUUAUAAAAGAAAAGAAAAACAAGGGUAUGAGUGUAACAUAUUUAAUAAUAAAAAGUAUUUUAAAAUAUGUUUUAUAAUAUAGGAAUUAAAUGAGCAUCUAACUCAAAAAGUAUGAUGAUUAAACAAACAUUUAUCAUAAUUAUUUUUAUAGAAAAAUAUCAGUAAAAUAAAAAAAAAAUUAAUUAAACAUGAUUUUUGGUAAUUAGGCGAGAGAUAUGCUCCAAAAUUUAGCAACAAAACAAAAAGUAUAUGUCGUGCAUGAGCGUGGAUUGUAAUGGAUGAGGAUGCAUGGGUUAACGUAUUAUACCGUUGCCACGUGUAAGCAGUUUGUUGGUGGUGAGGUGAUAGAGUUACCAGAGCUGUUAUUAUCCAAUGCGGUGACAGACACACAGGCUCCUUGAGAAGGGCAUCAUUCUAAACGUUGCACGAGUGCCGCAAACGCAAAAAGGCACACGUAGGGAAAUAUAACACUCGCGUCCUUUAAAUGCCACGUGUCUUCAUGAAACGGUGUCGUCGUCAGCUGUUUCGAGACUAUUCAAACUUGGUUUCAUGAAUCGCGAUCAUGUAUGUAUAGAUAAAAAUGAAAGUUGAAAUUGGGUGGAUGGAGAUUGUGAAGACGAAAAGGACAAAGAAAAAUCUAUCCAUCACGUGCGCAAAUUGGAUUUAUAUACAAUUAAAAGCCAAAAAGAAAUAAAAUCAAACAUCAUCUAAUAACCAAAAUUUUUAUUUUUCUUUUAGAAAAAGGUUUAGUUAAUAAAUGAACAUUUUGUAAAAUUCUUGUUUAAAAAGGGCACGUCUUUGUUGACAUUCACGUUUCGAAUUUCGAAAUUGCAUGUGUAAUGGGAUAGAAAUUUAGGUAAAAAACAAAAGUCUGUGGCUGCAUUCUAUAAACAAAGGUGGUCACGUGAUUGACCUGCAACGUAAAUCAUAUAAAAAAACCACAUUAUGAUUGAUGGAUUGCUGUUACACCAGACCGAUAAAAGGUUGUUGUUACACCUUUAUUAUUUUUAAUUUUUUUGAAUUAUUAUUUAUAGUAAAUAGGGUUUUGCUAAGGUAUAUCGAAUGUAACUUAGAACAAAUACAGGAUUCAUGAUUUCUCACUAAUUUCAUAUAUUAUCAUUCUCUUGUAUUGAGUAACUACUUUUGAGUUGUUAGCUUGGGAGGAAAUUUGGAAGCUAACAUGCACUAAUAACUUGAUGAGAUGUGGCUAAAAAAAGUCAAUUAAAUUAGAGUUUGCUAAUUUGACUAAAUGAUAGGAUAGCUUAUGAAUGUUAGAAGAUAAGCUCUUAGGGAAAAAGGAUAAUUAUGGUAAAUAUGCUCAAACACCAACGAGUAUUAUCAAAACUCAAAUUUAGCAGUUAGAGCCAACAUGUGAACAAUGUAUGCCAUCAUAAAAAAAAUGAAAUAUUUCUUUUUUGGGCUAAAAAGGAAGAACUAAUAAUAAUAAAGAUUAUUUUCAUAAAGCAAUAAGAGGGAAUCACAUUGUUGUCCUUUGAUAUCGCUUGAAAAGUAGAAGGAUCACAAUGUUAAAAGUAGGGAUGUUCAGAAUCCAAUCCGAUCCGCUCAAUCAGUCUGAUCCGCUGAAUUCGAUCCGUAUAAAUCCGAUCCGUGGAUUGGUGGAUUGGAUAUGAAUUGAAAAUUUAAAAAUCCGCAGUCGAUGGAUUAGAUAUGAAUUUACUUCUUGCAGAAAUCCGUGAAUCCGCAAAAUAUAUAUAUAUAAUUAAAAAAUUAUUAUAAAUUUAAUUAAAAAAUUAUAAACGUGACAUUGCAUAGUUACUAAGCACUAUAACAUAUCUUAGCCAUUACCCAAUAAUAAUAUAAAAUAAAAAAUAAUUAAAUAAUCAAAUAUACAAAUAUAACUUGUAAAAAUUGUAAAACAAAAUAAAAGUAGAGUCACACGCACUAGCAAAAGCAAAAUAACAUAACGCCAAGUCACCAACAAUUUGCAAACAAAAAACCCUAAGCUCCCCCGCC